AUCAUCCUACUUAUUCAAUUUUGGUAUUUUGGUAUCUUUGAGAAAGUAGGAAAUUGGUGUUGUUUGAACAGUUAAAUUCUUUAACAAAACAAAUUUAUCGAAAAUGAAGAAACAUUACCACCUCCUUUUUUUUUUUUUUUUGUCGGCAAUUCAGUUUCAUUCAUAUCCCCAAUAGGCAAUUAAAGAAAGAAAGUAGAGGAUUAAAAGCAAUGUUAACAGCCCACUAAAACAUUAAUCGAUAUAAGCCCAAUGCUUUAGCAUUAGACACGUGUAGAAGACGUGUUCUUCUUCAGCCCACGCGUCAAAUUAUCGAGCACCACCGUCAACGAUCGCCGGACAUCGCCUUACUCCGAUUAGCCGCCGCCAAUCAGCCAUGGGACGAUGGAAAUCCUCCUCCCUUCCGCCGAUCUCCAAUCCAAAACUAAAGAUAACACCGAAAUCUUCUGGAUCGAUCUUAUGAAGCCGCUUCAAAAUUCUCCUGAUAGCACCAACUCCGGGGAAGCUUCACCACCGGUUACACCCAAAUUGAUGUAGCCUAAGAUCCAUCUUUGCUCAUGCGUUUUGAGCAAAAGGAGAUAAGAGUGACGAAGAUAUGACUCCUCGAGCAAUUGGGGAAACACAGAGAACUUGGAAGACAAACAGAGAAAGCGGUGGAAAGAUACAAAGAUGGAAAAGAGAUCGAAUCUCGCUAAAAGCGAGAGAAAAGACCGGACAUAGCCGGUAGAAACAGUCCGACACAUAGUCAUAAUUUAUUAAUCUCGCACAUAGACGAGAAUAUACACAAAUCCGGUCAUAACCGGAAACAAAAAACGGCCAUAAGCUUUUCCCCUCUGAAAGGUUUUAGAGAGAAGAGAGGAAAAGCUUCUCUUUGGUUCUCCACUAGAUACAUUACCACCUCCUUUACAUUUUCUUUUGAAAACUCUCCAAUUUGCCAAUUUAUACAAAGAAAUUUAACAUUUCUGAAAUAAAAUUAAUUAUUUUCAGUGGUGAUGUGAAGUAGCGAAAACUUAUAAGGAUAGAACUAGAGAUCCGUUGAUUCUUCGGAAUACCGUAAAACUAGAGUUUCUCAGAUCUGUUGAUUUUUUCGAAUACCAUAAACGAGAGAACGUAAGAAAUUCGUUGAUUCUCCACGAAUACCAAAUUCUACGUCUUCUUAUAAUCGUUUGGAUCUCUCAAGAUCUACCGAAAACAAAGAUUAGAGAAUACUCUUCUCUGAAAAUAUAAAAGCUCUUUAAUUUUAUUAAUCAAUCAACUGAAUAUAAAAGAAGGCCUAAACGGCUUAUUUAUAAUAAAACCAGAAAGCCUAGAUAAACUCUAAAAUAAUCAUAUAAUAAUUAAAAUAUUAAUAAUAAAAUAAAUAGAAGAUAAUGAUAGAAGAUAUCCUAUACUAUUAUUUGGGGGUACACUUUAUAAGAUACCCUUAACUAACCUUUUGUUUUGUAAAAAUUUACCUAAAAAUGCCAUUAGAGAUAAAAUUUCAAAGAGUAAAUUAAUUCAUCUUAUUAAGGAUAAACAAGUCAAUUUAUACAAUUCAAUUAAUUUAAUUUAAUUAUAAAAACGAAAAUAUAUUAUUAUUAUUAUUUUUAAAUGACCAAUCAAAAUAAAUAUAUAAGAUUUGAUAUCUAACUUACCUUAUUAAUUUGUUAUUAAUCAUUAUAUUUCACCUCUCAUCUUUAUAUGAUUAUAUUAUUGUGAAACAAAUAAAUCAUCAUAUCAUCCAUAUAAUAAUAAAAAUAGAUUUUUUUCCGCAUAUGCCAUAAUUUGAAUUUUUAAAAACGAAUAUAAAUUAUUCAAUUUAUGAAAAAAAAAUUUAACGAGUCAAAAAUUUAGACUUAGAUAAUAUAUUUCUUUUAAACAAAAAUAAAUUCAUCAAAAAUUCCGGGGUCAGAAUUUGAGUAAUUAUAUUCAAUUUCAUAUAUAUUUUUAAAAAUAUAUAAUUUUAUAUACUAUGAUAAAAUUUUAAAUAUUUUAAUUUGGAAUAUUUAAAAAUAGUUUUACUUGAUAUUUAAAAACAAAUAUCAUCAAUACUUAAUAAAUGAAAAAAUUAAAAACUAUACAUACACUAAUUUGGUUUUAUUAAAACAUAUAUAUUUAAAAAAUAUUUAUAAUAGACGGUGGGUUAAAUAUAAUAUAUUAUACGAUGAAAUGAGUUAUGAUCCUUAUAACUAUUUGAAUAUUUAUAUUUAAGUUCAUACAAUUAUUUUAAAAAAAUUCUUAAUUUUAUAUUCUACAAUAAAAAAUAAAAAUAUAUUUUAAUUUGGAAAAAUUUAAAAAUAGUUUAAUAUAAUAUUUUAAAGAAUAUUAUAAAUAUUUAAUAAAUCAAAAGAUAAAAGUUAUAAAUACUCUAAUUUCAUUUUUCAAAGCAUAAUAUUUAAAAUAUUUAUAGCAAGUAGCAGGUUAAAUAUAAUGUAUUAUAUGAUAAAAAGAGUUAUGAUCUUUAUAACCGAAACCAUGUUAAGAUUAUAUGAUGAGAUGAGUUAAAUAAGGUUUGACACCUCUAUAUAUUUAAAAUUUUGAUUCUAUAAGUAUAUAUGAAAAUAAUGAAUGAUGGAUUGUGCACACAAUUUUUUUAUUGAGAUUCUAAAAUAAAAAUAUAUGUAUACACGUGUUGAAUUUAAUCUUAUUAUAUACCAAAUUAUGUUUAUUAUAUACACAAUUUUUUUUCACUUACUACUAGCAUAUAUCAAAUACAUACGUUUUAUUUUUAACCAAAAAACGUAAAAAACUGUAAAAAUCGAACUGUAACUAAACCGAAUUACAUACGGUUUCUAUAUGGUUUCACUUUCUACAAAACGAAAAAAACGAUACUAAACCGAAAAACUUUACCCCACCCCUAAUAUUUUCUCGUCAAACAAAAUAAAAUAAAAAAUUCUUAUAUGUCAUUGUAUUAUAUAAAGAAUUAUUAAAAUUGUACUAUAAAACAAACAAUAAUCCAACUUUAUAUAAAUAUUUAAAAACUAAAAUUUCAUCUGUGCUGUUCCAGCACGGGUUAUGAUCUAGUUUGGAAAUUAUCCAAAUUAUGUACUGCAUCAGGUCUCGUCGGCCAAGAAAAAGAUAAUGAUAGAUUUGAAAAUUUUCCAAAUUAUGGGCUUCAUUGAUGACAAAUAUUUAUUUAUACAAAAAUUUAGUAUCGAUUAUUGUCUUAAAUAUCUGUUUUUAAAUUUCUAAUCUUCUAAUCUGAAGAUGCCAUAUCUUUCUAAAAAUUGAACCAAUCAAAAUGUGUAUAUGGUUAAGGAAAACACCUAAUUUUUGUUUUAAAAUCUGAAACAUACAACUUCUUAAGAAAAAAUUAACUCUUUUUAUCUGUGGUAAGGUAUUUUUGGAUUUGAAUUAUAAACUAAAUUUUUUAAUAAAUCAAGAUUAAACUCGAAUUAAAUAUUAUUAUUAUUUUUAUUUGAGAUCAAGAUUGUUAUUGAUUUAAUUAUAUUAAAUUUAUUAUUAGAUAAGUGUCUUGAAAUAUUUUAAGUUUAUCUCUUAAAAUUUGUGUCUUAUAUAUAUAGAAGUCUCCAUGCAAAGUCUCCAACAUCAACGAACCUUUUAGAAGCAAGCUGCAAGGUAUUUUCAUGCAUCUAUAAUUGUAAGAUUUUCUUAUUUUUUUACAAAACUAGUAUUUAUUUAAAUCAGACAAAAUAUUUUUGUGUGUUUCUCUACCAAAAACAGUUCAACUAUGAAUCAUUAUCCUCCUAAUUUCUAUAACUUUACGUUGAAUCAGUUUGAAAGAAUUUUUUUUUUUUGAAUCAUUGAAUUCAAACAAUUGUUUACUCAUGUUCGGAUAGAUGAACGUAUGCAUAACUGUUGGGUUUGGGCUUGAGUCUUGAGAGUUGAUAAUAUAUAAUGGUCAGUCCCGAAUACGAAAUUCACAAGUAGCCAUUGAUCUAUUUUUGUGAUAGGCUAACUUUCAUCUCUAUAAGAACUAUUUUGUAUUUAUGUGCUAUCUUAAAAGACAGAUAUAUAUUUAAGGAUUGCUCUCUAUUUUAGUUGCUUUUCGUUACUAAUAACUUUAAGAUGAUUGUUCGCUUUACAUGUUGUUCAAUUAGAUAAUUUUAAUAAUCACAUGCUUGUUUUGGUGUUAGAUGUUCAAUAAAACUGUAUUUGAUGCAACAUAUUAACGUUGGCAUGUCUCUACUGAGAAGAACGUUAGCAAAAGACUCAUGUUACUUUCGUAGUGAAAGAUUGGUAUUUUAUCGAUGUGCCAUACAUUAGUGAUAUUCAAGAACUACCCAUUUAUAGAAAAUCCAAAACAAAAUUGAUUGGAGUUAUGGAUUUAUCGAUUACUAUAAUGAUAUUUUACCGUGAAAAGACAAAUGUAAGAUAUUUGGAGUUGAUGUGGGUGAUUGGUAUGUGGUGCUGAACAAUUGGAUCCAUGGCUAUAUGGAUUAUUUACCGUAAUAAAGUGUAAUCUGUAAUGUUUAACAUCACAUACACAUCAUCAACAUCAACUCCAAAUCUUUUGUUUGUCCUUUCACACUUUGGUCAAACACCAUUAUUUAUAAUAAUCGAUAAAUCUAGAGUUUCAAUCAAAUUUGAUCAGGUUUUCUACGUUUAGCUCUUGGAUAUUUACAUCCAAACAUGUCAAUGUUUUACUGUGAAAGGAACAUGAGACUUUUGCUAAAAUAAUUCUCAGUAGAGACAUGUCAACGUUAAUAUGUUGCAUCAAACAAAUAUAAUUACAUACACUAAAUAGUAUCACUACUGAUUACAAUGGAAAUUUACUUAAAUUUUCGUUUAACCAAAUAUGUGGUUCAAUAAGCUUUAAAAAACACUACCAAAAUUGACCGUUAUAUAUGUGCAAGUAUUCAAUGCAUGUGGUUAAAUGAAUAUUGAUAACAACAAUAACUAUUCUUUGAAAAUACGAACAGUUUUAUAUUCAUCCAUGAAUAUAGCAAACAUAUCGUAUGUAUUACAUUUCAACAGCUAAUUGUUUCUUCACAUCUCUUCAGCAAAUGCAAUGAUUAACCAAUCAUAUAAUCUUCAAUGUAAGUUUGUAUUUAUGUCGUCGUAGUUACCAUUUUUUCCAGCCUUAUGCAUGCAAUAAUCUCGGUAUAUAACACAUAAGUGAUGACAUAAUGUCACAAUCUUUAAAACUUUUUUCUUUUCACUUCUAAAUGUGUUAUCGUGAAUUGGUUUUACUAACUAGAAUCAGAUUCUCAAUCUCGGUCGGUUCUCUUUUAACCAUUCAAGAAUUAAAGGAUCAAUGACAUGUUUUAUACGUCAUGUGUUAUUGAAGUAAUUAACGGUUUUAGUUUCACACGUUUGUUAUUAUUAGAAAUAAGUACAAUAUAUAGUUUGUAUUAAACUAAAACAUGUAUGACCAAUUUAACAAUUCGAUUCCCAUGGGGACACUAUUUACAUAUUCUUUGUCAUCAAAUAUGCUUUCUGAAUUCUGGAAGCAUCUUAAAACCCGCAAAAGCCAUCCUUCUCUUCAUAUCUAUCUUCCUUUCCAAAUUAUUCUUAUUCCCUUUUACCAAAAUUCUCUCUUUUUAUUUCUCUCGGAAAAAGAUUUAUUCCUCUCUAAGUCCAACGAUUCUCCUCAAAUGUUAUUCUAAAUUUUGCACCCAAAAAAUGAUAUUCGAAAAUAGUACCUCACUUCACCAUGUCACACUUAUAGGAAAAUGUAGAAUCUUACUUUAUAUUAAAAUACUAUACAUUAUUUUUAAAAAAAAAUUAUGUCAUUUUCAAUUAUAUAUUUAAAAAAAAAACAUUUUCCAUAGUGAUGUUUUUUUGCAAUAUUAUCAAUAUUAGAUUCGUAUAAGUCCAUGAAUAGUUGAAUUUUCCAUUAAAGUACAUUUUCACAUUUCAUUUACCAAAAGAUAUCUAGUAUAAUAUAUAAUACGAAAUACAUAAAUCUCUUAUUUAAGUGAAUUAUAUAUAUAUAUAUAUAUAUAUAUAUAUAACUUAAUUAAUUACUGAUAUCGUCUUCCAUGAUUGUUUACGAAAAUGCCCCUCUAAUAAACACAUCGUUAGGCAUUUCCAAGAUCCCAUUCCAAGCCCAAUUAUGUUAAUUCGAAAAUUUAAUCAAUCUCACAUGACGUAACAAGAGUUUGGAUUGCCUUCGCUGAGUGCUUCAAACGAAUCUGACGGCUGAGAUCUAUACGAAUAAAAUUCGGGCGGUGGAGAUUCGUAGCCAGUAUCCACGUACUCGUAAGAAUAAUACGACGUCGGAUGAGAAGGAGGAGCCGUGUAAUACGACCCCGUCUCAUUCCCACCGUUACUUGGCCGAUGCACCGUGUUGUAACUCACCGUAUAAGACGGCGCCGUUUGAGGCUGAGUAUGAUAAAACGAAGGAGGCCGCGGUCCCGGACUCGGACCGUAUAUUUGUUGUGGAUGAUGACGUGGAGGACUGUGAGCUGUUGGAUACGGAUGAUUCUGCUGAUGAUGAUGAUGUUGUGGAGGUCCGUGAAUUAUGUGAUGAUCUGGUGGAGCUGAGUAUAUCACUGUCUCUGGUGGUCCAUCGUUUUGCGGCGGAGCACCACCACCACCACCACCGCCACCGCCUCCUUCCAUCACUACCGUCGUGUUCCCUAAGCUUUUCUUCUUCUUUUUCUUUUUCUUCUUCUUCUUAGGAGCUCCAUCUCCUUGAGGUUGAAGUUGACCGUUAACGAACGUCACAACUUGUUUCACCUGAUCACAACCUCCACCUCCACCACCGCCGUCACCUCCGCCGUUGUUGUUGUUGUUUUCGUCGUCGUCUUCAUCUCCACUGGUUUCUUCGUUAUCUUUCUUUGCUUUCCUCUGAUAGUUACAAUCGUUGUUAAUGUUGUUCUCCAUUGACGUUGGCCAUAGCUCGGCGUGUCUACCGGCUUUCAUGAUCUUCUUGAUUAAAAUCUCUGGCUCUACGUUUCCAAUCACCGUUACUUUUUGUUGCUUUACGUCGAUAUUUGUUGUAUAUACACCUAAAUAAAAUCAUAUAUAUAGUCAUAAUCAGUUAAUCAAUAUGGAAAAAGAAUAAAACGUUAGAGAGUUUAUUAUAUUUUACCAUCGAUUUUGCUCAAUAUUUUCUUGAUUUUUCUCUUGCACCCUUCGCAAUGGAUAGAGACUCUUAAAACCCAUGUCUGCAACGAAAAUAAGAAGAAGAAAUAAUAAAUCUUGAGAUAAGAAGGUGAUGAUUAUAUGAAAAAGAAUUUGAUUAUUUGUAAAAAUGAUCUUACGGUGUAUCUAAGAGGUUCAGGGUAAUCUUCAAAAACAUGUCUCUGUUCUUCUUGUCUGGUGUCUGAUUUGAUCUCUGUUCCUAAAUCCAUAUUGGAGAGAAAGAGGAAGACGAAGCAGAGGGAGAGGGUAUUGAUGCAACUUUGAUGUGUAAUAUAGUAACGAAGUCAUCGUUUCUAUAUCUUUUUUUCGGGGGAUUCCUUCAGGAGAUAAUAUUCUCUAAUAGUUGCCUCUUUUGAAAAAGAUUAUAAUAUGCUCUGUUCUCAAACACUAAUCUUUGCUUUCUUCUUAGCAAAUGAUUUUUACUUAGUUAGGGUUAUAAUGACACUAUAUAACUAGUCAAAUUCUUUAUUUAUAAUCAAAAAUAUAAAUAGAUAAUUAAAUUAUAUUACAAUGAUUAAAAUUAAUAUAUAUGAGAAACUGACCGGGGUUUUGAGUGUUGGAGAUGUUCUUACAACAAAUAUUUCAUGGGGAGAAAAACUAAUUUGUAUGCUAUUAAAAUCAUAACAAACUUUUCGUUUAUUUGUUUAGUUUUGUUAUAUCUUUAAUACUAAUAUGCAAGCAAGAAUGUGAUUAGGGAACUCUCCCACCUAAGUCUUCAAUGAUAACUAAUGGUUUCCACUUCGUAGUGAAAUAUGGCUGCCCAAUAUAGAUAUAAAUAUUUAUAAAAUGGGUAAUGUUAGAGAUAUAGACUUUGAAAGUCUCUCAACUAUAUUAUUUUAUUACACAAAAUUUAAUUUAUUUUUGAUUUAAUUUCUAAAUGAUAAAAAUAUCUUAAAAUCAAUCAUAUUUUUUUUCUUUUGAUAACCCAGGUGUCGGGUCCCACCGAAGUGGCCCGACUAGCGUCGCGUCCAAGCGGAGCUGACGUGGUCCUGGAAGCCUGCAGCCGCCAUGUAAAUUCUGCAGUAGCCAGGAAUCGAACCCAGGUGGCGGUAUCCCCAGCUGGAGUCCCUUUACCACUAGGAUAAUAGUUUUUCAAAAUCAAUCAUAUUAUGACAUGUAUGAUAAUAGUUUUUCAAAAAAAAUUUAAGUGUUCUCAUUUGAGAACCGAUUUUUAUUUCUCUCUCAUACCUUUGAUUACUUUUAUUUUUUAUAUUGUUAAAAAUUCUCAUAAAAAGUGAGAACUUCCCGGUGCACAUGUUUUUAGAUGAUUUUUCUAGUGACACUGUUUGUAUUAUGACAUUAUUUAAAACUAUAUAAGAGUGCAAGUGAAGGAGAGGAAUCAUCGUAAUAAGGGAAAAUGUGGUGUUCUUUCUUCUUAGCACAUAACUGCACAUUGAACACAAAAAAAUAGAGUGUAUGUGAAAGAAGGUAAGGUAAAAGUAGGGUUACUAACUAAAAAUGAGCUGACCAUUCAUAAUUACAGAGAAUGAUGAAAAUAGUAAGAAGUCUUCAAUAUUCGAUUCAUUUCUAUGAUCUAAUUUAUAAUCUAACAACUUUAAUGAAAAAAACUAAAGUAUGUUAAUAAUAAUCUAAUAAAAGAAAGAGUAACCUUCUAAUCCAACAUAAUUUCCAUAAGACCAAUUUUAUGGGGAGGUCCGAUUACAAGAUUUCUACAUAUUGCAUGUCUAAAACAUCCUGUAAAAGUUAUCACUAAAGAAUGGUUCAUAAAUAUAUUGGUCGAAAUCAUCAUAAGAUAAGAUCCUCAUUCCCUAAAUUUAUUUAUUUAUUUAUAUAACAAAUAUACAAAAUGACUCAAGAAAAAAUUAAAAAGACUCAAAGAAUACAUCAAAAGAAAGAAAAAAACAUUAGUAACGGAUAAACAUCUUUCACCCCCAGACUUACAUUAGAAACCGGUGAAAGGAUGGACAUAGUCUAAUAAAAAGAAAAAGAGAUAGUUCAUAGUUUUUUUUUUUUUUUACAAGAAUAGUUCAUAGGUUAGAAACGAGUAACCUCGACUUUGUCUCUAUGGAAACAUGUGACUAGUGCAAAGAAGAGUCACCUAAUUUAUUGAGAAACACAUCAUAUCACCCAAAGUUUUGAUGAUCCUCAAUGUUCUAGCGAGCAUAGCAUCCUGCCAAGCAAAUCUAUGUUCUAGUUCCAAACGUCUGACUCUCUCUUCUAUAAGUGUCAAACUCUCUAUGUCAGCGUUUGUGUGUGGCUAGUCGUGGUGGGGCGGAACAAUGCGUGAAAAUCAUUAUGAAACUACUACGAUUAGACCAUUUUCUUGCACCUGAGCUUUAUAAUCUUCAAGCAAAGGUUUUCUCUUGUUUGAAGGACCAAACUCGCUUUCUAAAAGUAUACAACAAAGAGGACCCUCACACAGUGGUGGAACAGAGAGAAGAAAGCAUCACAAUGCGAAGAAGACUAAGUGAAAAAUGUUGGUGGUCUAGUGGUAAAUGCACUAAUUGUCGUCUUUCUUGUGCCAAAAUCAAGUCCUAUUCUUAUCAGAACUUAUAUUUUUUCAACAAAAAAAAGAAGAAGACUAAGUGUGGUAAUUAGCUAAAUUAUCUAUGCAAUUUGUUUUUGGUAAGAAUUUUGGCUCCAUUCUUCCUUCAUUAUUUUCUUGAACUUAAAUUUGAAUGAUUCCACAUCCAAGUCAUUUUAAUAUUAGACCGUCGAUAUAAUAUCACUACUACAUUUAAACAUAAAUUAAAAGCAUUAGUCAUGCGUAUAUUUACACGUCAAACACCUAAAUGUAUUUUUGUUGAUAUAGAAAAUAAAAAAUAUUAACAAAUUUAGUUAAUUAAAUGAAUUUUUAAGUUCAAGAAAUGAGUUUAAAAGACACUUCAAUAUCAGAAUCCGAAAAACACUUCAAUUAGUUAGAUACCCACACCAACAUAAUAUUACUAUAUUCAGUACUCCAUCUGUUUCAAAAUACGUAUAAGAGGUUUAAGGUAAAUGCACAAAUAUUUAGGUCUUUUUUUUUUAAAACAUUAUUUAUAUUUAGAUAAAAAAAAUUCAACUAAUCAUAAUAAAGACUGCAAAAUAUAAAUAGUCAUAAGUGGUCAAAUGCAUUUAAAUUAACAUUGAAACUUGUAAAACAUCUUUUAAUAUGAAACAAAAUAAAAUCCCUAAAAUAUCUAAUAUAAUGAAAUAGAGGGAGAUUUAAAAUUCAGAGCCUCAUUACUUAAUAUCAUCCCCAUUCGUGAGAUACCCCCAAAAUAUUGAUAUAUUUAAUAUUAGUUAAUUUUAAAAUAUUUAUGUUAAAUUUUUAUUAAUAUUUUUAAAACAUAUCAAAUUAAAUCUUUCAUAAAUUUAAUUAUACUAAUUAUUUAUAUUUAUGUAUAAAUAUUACAAUAAUAAAAACAUAUAUAUUAAUAAUCUCAAUCUCAAUAACAAUAAUUAAUAAUGGAAUCCAUCAUAAAUAAGGUAUUUUCUUAAAUAACAUCAUUAAGCAAAAAACUAACAUAACGUAAAGUUACAAAAUUGUAACGCCCCGACCGCCACACCUAUUUUAAUGGGCUCCACGUCCUUUCUCGACCCGUGGACCCACCCGUGUCCGACGGCCGGUCCGCUACAAAUCAUCACAUGAUCUUUCUCUUUGUUUUGUCCUCACUCACACAGUUCCGACAAUCACUUCCUGGAAGGUCACCCAUCCUGAAUUUGCUCCAGCUCAAGCACCCUUAACUGUGGAGUUCUCUCAGGACAGUUGACCGAAAAGAUAAGUGCACUUUGGUGACAUAGGUGACCAAAUCAAUUCUUUUAAACCUCUCCGUAUGCACCACCAUAUUCCUGAAACCGGAGUAUUACAAAAAAAUACUACUUAAAAUGCUAGAAUAUAUAAAUACAUAUAAAACAUGAUAUAAAUAAUUUGCCUCUAGUCUAAUUGCCAGCUUUCUAAUUUCCACAAAUAGAUUAUGUACCCGCGCGUUGCGCGGGAUUUUAGUUUAAAUUUUUUAUCAAUGCGAAUCUUUGAAUUAUUUGAAUUUAAAAAUAUUUUACUUUACUCAUUGUCAUUAUCUUUUCAUAGUAGUAAAUAUUUUUUUCACACUUUUUAGUACAAUUUUUCUUGUUAUCUUCUAUGAUUUACUCGCCGUCUCUUGACAUGUACUCUUUUUCACUUUAUAUUGACUCACAUAUAAUAUACUCGACUAUGAAUUAGUUCUCAAGAUAGAUCGUAUAUAUUGGUUCAUUCAUAUCUUUCAAUACUCAUAUUUUUUUAUAAGUUGCAUGAUCUUUUUACUAAAGUAAACAUGAGAAAAUCACGGGAGAUAUUUGUCAUAUAGUUUCUUUGACCAUGUUUGGUGCAUGUAAAAUUGCUUUAUAAACUACAAAUCUCAUACAUGGACUCAUUCAUAUUCACAAACAUCAUAUUUCAACAUCAAGUUUUGUACUUUAUCUUGACCGUUUGAAAAAUACAAAAAACAAAUUCACAUAUAUAAUUUGAUGUAUAUUAUGAUUCUAUCUAGAAUUCUUAAUGUUGAUUUUCGUAAGGUAACUUACGAACUCAUAUAAAUCAUUCUAAUUUUAAAAUACAUUUUUAAUCCUUAAUUUUUACUUUUAAUUAAAAACUCUUCAAUAUAUCAUUACUAUUCUAAUUUCCAAAUAGCAUUCGUAAAUAUUUCAUUUCACAGUUUCUUAUUCGAUUGGAUUAUUUUAUUUUUAUUUGUGAUAUUUAUGAUAGUUUUUGUUUUUCCAAAUCACCUUAAAAUUUUGUAUCUAUGUUAAAAUUUCAUAAACAUUGAUUAAUAUUUAGUUUUUCGUUUGUUACUUAUUCAUUUGAUUUAAAAAAACACAACUUUUUAGUUUAGAAAACACAGAUAGUAUAGAAAAUUUUAUUAAUGUAACUAUUUAUAUUAUAUUAUAAUUAUAAAUAAGAAUAUGUACUCAAUCCUUCUUAUUUUUAAUCAGUAUCAUGAAUUGAUACUUUAACAUUAAAAAAAAUUAUAUACAUUUUUUAAUUUUAAAUAUGUAUUUUUCAGAAAUGAAUUACUUUUUAUUUUUAGUAAAAACCUUUAAAUUGAAUAUAUUUUAAAGUCUAAUUUUUAUUUAUUCUACUAAAUAAUUGUAACUCUUAUAAAUGAUUGUUUUAUCAUUAAAAUAUAUGAUAAGUUUUUUUUUCAUAUCUCUAGUCAUUUAGAAAUAUUUACCCGUUAUAUGUUAAAAUACAAUUAUCUAAUUUUAUUUUAUUUUAUUUAUUAUAUUGUAAAUUAUUGUUUUUGUUUAAUGAAAUAUAAUAAUAUAAAUUACAAAAUGUGUGAAUUAAUUAUAGUUUUAAUGUUUUUUGUUUUAAUAAAUAAAAUAUGUGGAGCCCACACAAAUAUUAAAAUAUGAUGACUUGGAUGAUGAUGUGGACACCCUAGAUGGAGAGACAACUCUCUUAUUAUAUAAUAUAUAGUAAUAUAAAUUACAAAAUGUGUGAAUUAAUUAUAGUUUUAAUGUUUUUUAUUUUAAUAAAUAAAAUAUGUGGAGCCCACACAAAAUUAAAAUAUGAUGACUUGGAUGAUGAUGUGGACACCCUAGAUGGAGAGACAAUUUUCCUAUUAUAUAUGUAGAUUUAAUCUCCCAACCAAAAUUAGCUUCAAGAUGACGUCGUCCGGCGGGCAAGUGAGCGGCCAAAUUUCUUGCACUUUUCUUCAAUUUUUCAGAUUGCCAAAUAAAUACUUUUUGAUUGUUUCUUGUGGUUUUGGAACGGUUUUGGAACGUGGUUGUAUCCUUUGACGUCUUUAUUUUUUAAGGAACCUAAAAUUAGAUUAACUCAAUCUAAUUUUACAUUAAUCAAUUUAUUAGAAUCAAUCCCGCCAAAUCAAGUGCAAUGCGAGUCUUAAUUUAUUAGAAUAUUUAGUAUUUAUAAUAUUAUUUAAUCCUAUUAAUUAAUUAAUUAAUAAUUAAUUAAACACAUUGAUUUGAUGGGUGUACAAUUUUUUGGUUUGGUUUCGGUUGAGUUUUAUGGUUUAUCGGUGUUAUAAAAAUGAGAAACCAUAGAAAAACCAUAUGCAAUUCGGUUCGGUUUGGUUUCAGUUAUUUUUUUUGGUUUUUCUCAAUGAUUUAUAAAAAAAUUACAUUUUUUUUUUUUAAUUUUGAACUAUAUAUUUUUGAUUUGGAUUAUGUGAUACCAUGAGUACAUUCCAACAUAUUUAUCAAUUAAAUGUCCAACAUGAUAUUAUCAUGAACAAUAUAAUAUUUUAGAAAGUUUUAUUUUUCCUCCCAAACACGUAUUAAUAUAAAGUUUCUCAGAAAAUAACAUUAGAUUGAGAAAAUUUGUUCAUGUAGGUUAUAUACCACCAUUUUUUUUGUAAGAAUAAUUAAACGAUAACCAAACAAAUGGUAUUAUAAUAAACAAUUUCAAACUAGAAAAAAAAAACAGAUCGGUUUUACUUUUUUAACCGAAAUCAAUACAAUAAUAACACUAAGAAUCUCUCCAGGCUUGACACAUCAGCAUUUUGGGCUCUUCUCAUGUUGACACCUCAUUAAAAUCGUCGUCCAAUGAAAACAUUUCGAUUAAUACAACUCAACAUGUUUCAGCCAAUAAAUAAUUCUCUUUAUACCAUGUCAUUAUAUUUCAAUUUGUUGGGCUUUAUUGUUUGGAGAGAAGUGGGCUUAAAGAACCAUAGCUGAAGCAAGAUGUAAUAAUUUUCUUUUCUCCUACUAGGCGCGUGAGGAUAUAUAAGUCUACCGAGAACAGUGCUGCGACGGUAGUAGAGGCAGAAGUUGCAGAGGUUAAAAUCAAUGAAGAGGUUGUAAGUACAUUGCAGGAAGUUUUUAUUCUCCAAUUAAGUCGAGAUUGAAAAGGUUUUGAUUUUUGAACGAUAAAAAUUUCUGAUAUUUUUUUUUACGACUAAACAAUUUGAUUCUAAUUAUGAUUAUAAAUUUGGUUGAAAGAUCAUAAUAACAAUGGUUCAUGAAGAAUUUUGAGAUAGGGUUACCAAUGUCAGAAAGCAUAACUUGAUUUUAAGGUGAUUUUUGAUUGAAUUUAAAUUUGCUUAGAUCUUCCACUUUGUUUUCGUGAAUCCAGUCAAGCUGGGGAUUUGAUUUGACGAUUUUGUCGACAACUUGAUUGAGAUGGAAGUUCAGUUGCAAGGAAGAAAUAAUUUGUGUGGGUAGUUAUCUAUUUCUUUUAAAUGGUGGUUUGAUGCUUAUAUUAUCUUGAAAUCUUCAAAUGUGUUUGUCUUUCUACUUCGAUUGAUUUGAUCAAAUUAGGUGAUGGAUCCAUCAAUUUUUACCCUUGUUUAGUAGUUUACCAAUGUUUUUAUAAUUCGCUAUAUUUGUAAUUUCGUAAGGUUUUCUGACUCACUGAUCUUUAAAAUUUCAUAUUUCUUAUGAACAUGCAUAAGAGGAUCAGGAAGUUAACAACUUCAACACAACCAAAAAUCUUCAAAUCUCGAGCAGCAAAAGUUUCUCAAAUUCACGCAAUGAAUAUGACAAUGAAACUAGAGAAACCAAAUCCUCAACAGAAUCUGUCGCUUUAUUAGAAGCUGAAGAAGGUCAUGACUGGGAGCUCGGAUACAUAACCAAGUUCAUAGUCUCUGGCCAACUGAUGAUAAAAGAAUUCUCCUUGGGGAUGGCUACUGAUAUUAUCUCUGAGCUUUUUCGAUGAAAUUGAAGGUAAGAGAGAUGCCCAGAGUAAGAUUGAGAGAAAAACACUGGUCGACUUUGUGCUUAUCAAAUGCGAGCAAAUGUUCAUGGGAAGCUAUAGAGGAUCGUUGGGGAGAGAAGUCAUUUUUCUUGAAAGAAGAGAGGUUUUGACAGAAGAAGUGAAGAAAGAGGUUCAGGGAUCGAAGAAACCAUGGUCUCAAGAGUUCGCUCAUUACACACUUGCAUCGAAUUGGAAUUAGAUUUGAGAAAAACUUUUCAAUCCCCAAAAAUUCUAUGUAUAAGAAAAACACACAUUUCAAUUUUCUAGCUGAGAUUGAACCUUAGGCUCAGAAGAAAACGAUCAACGUUGUGACGGUGGAUUGGAAUUCAUUGUUGUGGAGGUACUCGGUUCUUUUUUUUUUCAAUCUCUCGCUAUCUCUCUUUCUUAAUGAAGAGAAGAAGGAUGUUCCAGUGGAUUCAGAGGUUUGACAUAUAAAACAAGCAUAAAAGCGACACACAAAGUGUGUGUUCUAAGCAGUAAAUGGUUUUGAUAGUCAGAAAUUUAAACAAAUUAUAUAAUUAACCUCUUCAUAUGUAUGUAUUAAAUUAUUAAUUAAAAAAAACCCCUUUUUUUUUUGACAACUGAUUUUAUUAAAUAACUGAAAUGAGAUUUACAUAAGGUAAAUCGGAGCCUAUAACAUCAUAUCAAAAGCCCAAUUAUAAAUCCAAAACAGAGGUGUUAAUGGAAAAACAAAGGUUAAAAACUCAAUAUUGGUAGAUUAGAUGCAAUAACUGCAAAUUGGAUUUCUUAUUGAUUAAGAACAUAAAAUAAUGUGUGAUAUCUAAAGAAAAGAAUCUAAUAGAUGUUGGGCAAUUUUUAACACAAUCGGCUCAUGCGAGUGUAACUCACGGUAGCGAGAAAGAUCAAAUUUUCAUUUGUGUUCAUGAUUAACUAAUCUCAUAAACAUGUAGACAUGUAGUGGAAGUAGAGUCGAUAAAACACAAUUAAGCAACUUCUUAAAGAAAUGUUUUUAAAAAAUCCCCGCGGCAUAGCGGGGGUUUCGCCCUAGUACAUUUAAUAAUUGUAAGUGAACAGGUUGUAUGAGGAACCCAAAACCAAACCAAAUCACCUAAUUACGAUUUAAUUCUGUUCGGUUUUUCGGAUAAGAUUUUUUGUCCACCCUUAGGCCAUGAAUAGUUGUGUGUUUUUAAAGAGUUUUUAGAUUAUAGUUUUUGGUUUUUGGAUUUUAGAUUUUGGAUUUUUGUUUUUGUAAAUAUAAAAGAAAUAAAUAGAAAAAAAUCUUAGGUGAAGAAUUUCUUUAAGAAAAGUAAAAAACCCAAAUAAGAUGGUUUUUAGAUUGUCUUUGAAAAGAGUUUACACCUUCCAAAAACUAAAUUCCCUAUUUUUUAGGGAAACCAAUUUCUAAAAAUUUUGAAUGAGUGAAAAAGAGUUUUUAAAAAACAAAAACCAAAAACAUAACAUAACCGAAUGGAAAAAAGAUAUUCACCUACACCAAGUAUAACAGAAUACAUGGCUAAACAUGCCAAGUUUAGAAAUGUACAACCAACUACACGAACUAGAUGUAUUGCAUGGCUACAUAUACCAACUAUAUGACGACAUGUGGUCAACAUCACAAACAUCUUAUUCUGGUAUACUAAUCAUCAAAAUCCGUCGUUGACCGGCAUUGACCAACAAAAAUAUUUAAAUUUUUUUUUUUUAAUAUUAAUAUUAAAAACAAAAAGAAAAAAUUAUUCUAUUGAAUCUUUUAUGGUAUUGUAUAAUUAAAGAGUAAAACACAUUCUAUAUUCAUCUUAAAUAAAUUUUGUAUAUAUAUUUAAUAAAUUGAUUAUUAUAAUUAGUUAGUUUUUUUAAUUUCAAAACUAAAAUAAAAGUGAAAUAAAAAUAAUUAAGAGAAUUAAUUAUUUUUACAUUGUCAGUAAAAACAUUAACUUCGUAUUUUAUAAAUGUUUUUGCUAAAAACAUUAACUUAGAUUAUCGGUAACAGAACCGAACCGAACCACUAAGAAUGAGAAAACGGUAAAAAACAUAACUGAAUGGUUUAAAUGUAACUUAUGGUUUGGUGUGGGUCGGUUUGAGCUUGGUCGGUUCGGUUCAAAUACCCACCCCUUUUAGUGAUUCAUUUUGGCGCCUAGGGUUCUUAUUUGUGAUUCCCAAUUCGUUUGUAUCUAUCUUCUCGCUUGCGAUUUCCCAGAAAAAUUGUCGUUUUUGGUCUCUGAUUAACUUCAAAAGGUCUGUGUUUUUGGCGAGAAAUUGGUGGUGGAGCAUUCAUAGCUAAUUCAAACAAGAACAAAAUCACUAGGGUUUAGAGUUCUGGAAUUUGGGAUUAACCAGUAGUUAUAUACGAGUCAUUACAGUUUUCUCGUUUCUUUGGGUUUCAUUCAGAUCAAUUAAUGGUUUCUGGAACUUCUCCAAAUGCUGUGUAAUGCCUCAUAAUGCUUUACUAGAAUCAACUUGUUGUAGGAUCCGUAUAAAGGACUGUCUUUUAGUUGCCUGAACAGUGUGAAUUCGAUGGAUUUGUCUUCUGAUCAUGUUGUUAUGAAGCUUGUUGAAAUGGGUUUUGAAAAGUUGGAUGCUUUGGAUGCUGUGAAAGCUGUAGGUGGUAAGUCAUGUGAUGAUGCUGUGGAGUAUAUUUUGAAGGGACAUGAUAGAACUGGUGGAUCUGCGCCGGCUAGUUCAUUAUGUUCUAUAGGGAGUAAUAAGAUUCUUGGUAAAAGAGCUAUGCCAUCUUCGUUUUCUUCGGGUUCAAAGCGUCAGUCUAGUUUGCUUGACCAUUUUAGAUCUGUGGACCAGAACAAGAAAAAAGGCAACACCUUUGGGAUUGCAGAAGUGAAUUCUCAGUUAGAAACGGUGUCCGAUACUUCUAAAGAGCAGAUAAAGUCUCUUGCUCCAGUGUUUUUGGAGUCUAGUUGUUUUCCUGAAACAGAAUUGUCAAAUGGUUGCUCUGAGGCUUCAUCAACGUGGGAGACAAGAGUUAACUCUAUACUACAAAACCGUUUUGGUAUUUCAUCCCUGAGAAGUUUCCAAAGAGAGGCUUUGUCAACAUGGGUUGCUCAUGAGGACUGUCUUGUUCUAGCUGCAACGGGAUCUGGUAGUUUCCUUUUUUCUUUUGGCUGAUGAAUUCUUCAUUCUUACAUGAAGUCAAUAACAUUCUAAUUGUGGUUUUUAUGUUUUCACCACGCAGGGAAAUCUCUUUGUUUCCAGAUUCCUGCAUUACUAACUGGAAAAGUUGUUGUUGUAAUUUCACCUUUGAUAAGCCUGAUGCAUGAUCAAUGCCUCAAGCUAUCAAGGCACAGAGUCUCUGCUUGUUUUCUUGGUUCAGGCCAACUUGAUACUUGCAUAGAAGAAAAAGCAAUGCAGGGAAUGUAUCAGAUUAUAUAUGUUUGCCCUGAGACAGUGGUUCGGUACACUACACAUCACAACUUCCUGAAAUCCUCUUUUAAGUGCGUUCAUAUUAUUGUGUUCUUGCUUUAAGAAAGAUCAAUACUUAAUCGCAGACUGAUUAAACCACUCCAGAAGCUUGCAAAGACUCAUGGAAUUGCUCUUUUUGCAAUUGAUGAAGCGCAUUGUGUAUCAAAGUGGGGACAUGAUUUUCGUCCGCACUACAGGUAUGAUUUUGACUGUUCAAACUUGUAAGUAUUAUUGCUUUGAAUUGUUCUUGUGGGUAAUCUUAAACAAACCUCCUGCUGCCGGAUCUUUAGGAGAUUAUCUGUGUUGCGGGAAAACUUCUGUGCCAGCAAUUUGGAAUUCUUGGAAUACGAUGUACCGAUAAUGGCAUUGACUGCUACAGCCACAGUUCACGUACAGGAAGAUAUUGUUGAGUCACUUCACCUGUCAAAGGAAACACAAACUGUGCUUACUUCAUUUUUCAGGCCAAAUCUACAAUUUUCAGUGAGUUUCCAGCGUAGAGUUAAUUUCAGAUUAAUUCUUUUGGCAUUUGUAAACUAGCAUAAGAUUAGCAGAUUAAUCUGUAAUUUUCUGCUUGAUGCUGAUAUGGGGAUGAUGAGAUGUACAUCAUAAAGCUGAUAUUUCACUGUUAUUUACAGGUUAAACAUAGUCGAACCAAGUUUGCAUCUUCAUAUGCAAAGGACUUCCAAAACUUAAUUGACUUAUACUCUGAAAAGAAAAAGUCUACCGGGAAAAAGCUAGCAGUAAUCUCACGAGAGUCAGAGGAGCAGACUGAUUUUGGUUAUCACGAUGCUCAAAACAUCCAUGAGACAGAUUAUGAUGAGGAUGAAGAGGAUCAAGAAAACUCUCUGGCAAAGAAAAACAGUUCAAAUGGGAAAGAAUUGUCAGAAGAGUAUCUGGAAGAUGAAACCGACAUUUUCCAGAGUGUUGAUGAUUGGGAUGGUAAGCUCCUUUUCAGUUUUGUUUGGAAACAGAGAGCGAUCUAAAGCGGUUGAUAAAAUUACAUAACCUUUGAUUAGAAAAUUGGUGAGUGCAUGUAACUAAAUUGAAAAUAGCGUUAGUAAAAUAAAUAGACUUGGCAACUGACCAUUUUUCCCUUGGUUAAGUAAGUUGUCACCUCCUGUGCAAUUCAAAUUGGCGAAAAAGGCUCAACUUCACUUAUCAAAAGUAAAUAAUAUAUGCAGACAACAAAAUUAAUAGUCUUGGAGGAUUUUUCUAUGAGUUUUUAAUCAUUGGUGUUAAGAAAUGGUGAUUUAGAUAAGAUUUAAUCAUUGCAGUGGCUUGUGGCGAGUUUUGCGCAAUGCCUCCUUGUGAACUCCUGGAUGUACCUAUCCCUUCUGAAAAGCAAAAGGAUUUGGAAGGACUGACAAUCAUAUACGUUCCUACAAGAAAGGAGAGUGUCAACAUUGCUAAAUAUCUUUGUGGGGUUGGACUGAAGGCUGCAGCUUAUAAUGCAUCGGUAUGGACUGAGAAAUCUUACUUUUUCUUGCUUUCAGAAGCCUUCUGCACUGUUUUUAGGAAUGAAAAUUGUCAACUUUUGUUAACUUGGUUGUAGAAAUUUUGUUUCUAAUUUCUGAUGGAAAAUUUUGUAUUCCAAAUUAAAUGUUUUUUUUAUUAAAUGUUGUUAUGGGCUUAUGGCUGCAUUAACACUUUGAUACGUUUUACAGUUGCCAAAAAAACAUCUUAGACAAGUUCACCAGGAUUUCCACGAAAAUAAGCUUCAGGUAUCUACAGAGAUAACAUUAAUGUUCUUAUAUGUUAUGGCUCAAACUUAAUGAUUUACUCUGUUAUCCACUUCGCUAUUCCUGCUUCUUUUUAUCUGAAUACUAAUACUAUGUGGAAGAUCACUAUCGUUAUGUUACUCCUCUGCAGGUUGUUGUUGCCACAAUUGCGUUUGGAAUGGGAAUUGACAAGAAAAAUGUUCGGAAAAUCAUCCAUUAUGGUUGGCCGCAGGUCUCCUGAAGCUCUUAUAAGAUUUUCAUAUUUAACAUUUUCCAUCUCUGCGAAUCACGUGCUAUGCAAAUUUGUUGUCCUCUCUUCUACAUCUCAUUGAAAUAAUGAAACUACAGAGCUUGGAAGCAUACUACCAAGAAGCUGGUCGAGCUGGAAGAGAUGGCGAAUUGGCUGAGUGUGGUGAGUUGGUUAAUGAUUUCUCUUUUGGCUGCGAAAUUUACUCUUGUUUGCUAUGGCUGAAUGAAAGUAAUUAUAUGGGAUUUACAGUGCUCUAUGCUGAUCUAUCGAGAGCACCAACGCUUUUGCCAAGCCGUAGGAGCAAAGAACAGACAGAGCAAGCAUAUAAGAUGCUAUCUGAUUGUUUUAGGUCUCUAUAUUUUUCAUAUACAUGCAGGUGUGUAUUUCACUUAUCGUUCUAUAUUCUUUUAUAUUCAUUCUCCUUUUUCUUAUGCAGAUAUGGAAUGAAGACUUCACAAUGUCGAGCGAAAAUACUCGUGGAGUACUUUGGGGAAGAUUUUAGUUCCAAGAAGUGUAACUUGUAAGUCCUAUCCUAUCCUUUCUUCUAGAAAUUAUUAAGGUAAACUACUGUCUUAAUGCUUUUUCAAUCUUUUAAACAGAUGUGAUGUUUGCACUGAAGGGCCUCCGGAGCAAGUAAAUGUACGAGAGGAAGCUAAUCUUUUGUUUCAAGUAAUCAAUGCUUUUCAUGUAAGUCGUUUGACUAGUCCCAGAAUUUAAUUUAAAAGUUUGCUCCUUUCGUAUGAUUGAUUUACAAUGAAAGAUAUUUAGUAAUUGAGAUUUCUUCUACUAUAACUUUUCUUUCUGGAACUUAAGCUGCUAGGAUAUUAGUUGCAGGUAGACAAUGACUCUGAGCAUGCACCAUAUGAAGAUUAUGGACUCGGCAACAGCAAACAAAAGAAAUUAUCCCACAAGCCAAAUCUUCUGUUCUUCAUCAGUAAAAUCAGGGAACAGGUAAAUCUUCUGUUUCAACAAAUUACAUAGUGCAUUAUGUUCUUGAUUAUAUUAAUGUGAUGCCUUUGGUUAGUGUAGUGUCAAAAAUUCAAGGAAACAGAUUGUCUUUGGUGGAAAGGUCUUGCCCGUAUCAUGGAAGCCAAGGGGUACAUCAAAGAGAUGGAUAACAAGGUAAAGUACACUAGUAACCAAAAAACCAACCUUUCUUCUUUAGUUUCAUGAUCCCUUUUAUCGGUAAAGCUACAAUCACAUAUUCGGUGUUACUGAUCUGUGUUGCAGGAUCGUCGAGUUGAGAUUAAAUUUAUAAAACCAACAGAAAAAGGGAAGAAGCAACUAGAUUUCGAAGAUGACAAACCACUCUAUGUUUAUCCAGAAGCCGACAUGCUACUUUCGUUGAAACAAGACAGAACAUACAGCGGAUUCUCUGAAUGGGGAAAAGGAUGGGCAGAUCCAGAGAUCCGGCGCCAGCGGUUAGAGAGAAGAGAAAGGAAGCCCCGAAGAGAAAGGAAACCCCGAAAAAAGCGAACACGAGGACCUUCUUCGAAGAAGUUGCAUCCAUGGAGAAGCAAAGAAUAAUAAUCUCAACCCUCUUAAGUAAUGAAUCUACUUUAUAUAUUCUUCUCUUUUACCAAACCCAUUAAUCCAUUCAUGGAUCUUUAUGGAACCAUCCUACUUCUAUCUACAAUUGCUCUUUCGGGCUCCUUCUUCUUUGCUUUCAAUCCCAUAUUGAGGCAGAGACAUCGCGCCAUCGAGAAGUUAAAACUCGUAAAUGAGGCUUUGGUCGCUGCGGAAGAGAAUGUAGCAAGACUUCAAGAACGUCAUGAUGUGAUCCUCAAAGAGAUAUGUUCUUAUUAUCUCGUUAACACCGAGCUCCAUGAAGCUUUGGUUUCAGCUCGUGCAGCCAUUAAUGAUGCUUCUUCAUUUGUCAUGGAGCUUAGAAAAUUACAGUUGAAUAUCUUAAACUCUUUUUCUUAAUCAAGUUUUUUGGUGCUUAUUACGCUAAUUAAAAUUAGAGUUUGGGUUUAUUAUUAUUUUUCAUUUUCCGAAUUAACAUGUUCACAACUCUUUUUUUUUUGGUAAGGAAUAGGAGGUAAUGCCUCCUAUGAUUUAUUCAAAAAACUAAAGCAAAUUACACACGAACAAGUCUUGGGCGUGUGACCCCAUUAACAUCGUCUAACAAAACCGGAGCAACAUCUUCCGGACAAACAUCUAAAUGCUGAAAACCCAAUGGUAGAGAGAAAGCAUAGUUUGCUAAUUCGUCCGCUAACCGAUUAGCCUCCCUAUAUACAUGCGUAACCCGGACUAACCAGUCACUUGAGAUAAAGCCAUGACACAGUCGUACCAGGAACGCCAGUGGAUGAGUAUCCUCAACCCCUGACUGCAAAAAACCCACCACCAAAGCCGAGUCCACCUCUAAAAUCACUCGUCUAAACCCUCCUUCCCAUGCUAUGACCAACCCGUAGUAUACUCCCCAUAACUCCGCCACUGGAGCCGUACAAAUCCCAAUGUUAAGAGCAAAGUUGCCUAACCAAGUCCCAUUACCUUCCCGCAAAGCUCCAGCUGCCGUCGCUGGCCCCGGGUUACCGCGAGACGCCCCAUCGGUAUUAAUUGUGACCCAACUCUCACCCGGUUUCUUCCAUGCGAUCUGCUCCUCUACCCGAUCUCUAACUUGGGACCCCGCCUUCAGUAAGAAGUGAGCCUUCGUCACCUCCGUAGCCAAGUUUUUCACAAACCGUGUUCUAUCCCGACACAAACCUCUCUCGCCAAAAACAUCACCACACCGCCAUUUCCAGGCCCACCAUAUCGCCAUCGCAAACAGUGUAGGCCAGCCCUCAUUCCCCUGUUAUGGUGUAGCUAUCAAAUUCGAGUACACCCAUUCAAGCAAUGAUUUCUCAAAAAACUGUUGUCUCUCUCGCCGAGGGACCAACCGCUGCCAGAGUCCAGCCAUGGCAGGGCAAUCCCUUAGCACAUGUAAGAUUGAUUCCGGAGCACCACUACACACGGGGCAGAUCUCCGAAUCCCCCAUAUGACGUCUUUCUCUCUCCAUAUUGGUUAGUAUUACUUGAUUCCCCACCAACCAUAGAAAUACCCUAACCCGCUCCAGAGCCACCACACGCCAAAUCCUUUCAAACAGUUUCGCCACCAAAGGUCCCUCUUUUCCAUCCUCCUUUAUCAUUGAGUAUGCAGAGCGGACUGUAAAUUUCCCAUUCUCUGUCCCUUUCCAUGUCAAUUUAUCCUCUAAACCCGGGACUCCUUUCAACACCACUGCAUACAGUCUCUGCCUUAUAUGCUCAGGGAUAAAAUCUGCGAUCCUUUCCAUAUUCCAUCCCAAUCCUUCCGUCCAAUACUCCUCUGCGUAUCGCUCCCUCUCCUCCUCGGGAAGCACCUCCGACGCCCAGUCCAAGAGUGGUUUCUCCAGUAACCAUUUAUCCUUCCAGAACCGAAUCCGCUUACCAUCUCCCACAGCCCAACCCCGAUGCUCCGCCAAGUAGACGACCAGGUACCCUUAGGCUUCAACCAAGUAACAUCGUGAACUUCUCCAAUCUUAUAUUUACUUCUCAGCACCCGGGCCCAUAAGCUCUCCUUGUCCCGUAAUAUUCUCCACCCCACCUUUGCUAAGAGAGCUCUAUUCAUGUCUUUGGCCAUCCUCAGCCCUAAGCCACCCGCAGCCUUUGGCUUACACACCCGUUCCAAGCCAUCAAGUGAAUANNNNNNNNNNNNNNNNNNNNNNNNNNNNNNNNNNNNNNNNNNNNNNNNNNNNNNNNNNNNNNNNNNNNNNNNNNNNNNNNNNNNNNNNNNNNNNNNNNNNUCUAAAGUCGACGCAGGAAGUAGAACAGUAUUCAUAGAGUGCACCAGUAUCGACGAUAGUACGGAUUUUGUCAAUGUAAUUCGUCCCGCCAAGCUCAAAGUUUUACCUUUCCAGCCAGCCAAACGUGACGAUACUCGCUCAAGAACCUCUCCAAAGGUCUCUUUGUUUAUUCUUUUUUGUAAAAUCGGCAUCCCUAGGUACUUUCCCAAUUCUUUAGUAGACUCGAUUCCACUAGCUUCACUGAUUGAUCUCUCCAUAUCUCUACUCACAUUGGAUGAGAAAAAUAUCUUUGACUUCUCAAGACUAACUUUUUGCCCUGACGCCUUGCAAAAAGUUUCCAACACGCUUCUAAUCACUCUCACCUGUGCUACGGAUGCUUCCGCAAAGAGGAUGAGAUCAUCCGCAAAACAUAUAUGGGAUAGUUGUGGACCCCCUCUCGACACAUUAAUCGGCUUCCACUCCCUCCUAUCCACCGCUGUUUCAAUUUGGUGACAUAACCUUUCAAGGCACAACACGAAUAGGUAUGGUGAUAAAGGGUCUCCUUGUCGUAAACCUCUAGCCGGAAUAAAAGAAUCCGUCUUCUCUCCAUUAAAUAGUAAGCUCAUCGCCGGCUUCGACACACAAGCCAUGAUCCUGCUCACCCAUUCCGUGGAGAAACCUGCCACCUCCAAAGUUUCUUCCAAAAAAUCCCAUCGGAUUCGGUCAUAGGCCUUCUCUAGAUCAAGUUUCAACAACAUCCACCCUUUACGCCCCUUCUUUCGUCUCAUGGAAUGUACCGCUUCCUGAACAACCACAAUGUUAUCAAUACUUAACCGUCCCGGUAUAAAGCUCGCUUGGGCCAGUCCGAUCAAUUUUGAUAUCACACUUUUCAUACGAAUCAACAUCAUCUUUGUAAUAACUUUGAAGAGCACAUUACACAAACUCACUGGUCGAUAUUGUGUAAUCCUUUCGGGUUUUGCCACCUUUGCCAACAACACAAUGAGAGCGUCAUUCGCCACCUGUGGAAGUAUACCGGAUUCAAAAAACUCCAACACAAACCUUGUAACCGAACUCCCAACAGUAUCCCAGCACUUCUGAUAAAACACGGGUUGGUAUCCAUCCGGUCCCGAUGCUUUAAAUUUACCCAUACUCUUUACCACAACCACAACUUCAAACUCCGUAAACGGCUUUGCUAAAUUCAACUUUUCCUCCCUGGUCAUCUCAUAAAAACCCUCCUUAGGUAGAAGAGCUCUCUCUGGACAUAUAUCCUCUAGAGAAUAAAGUUAGAGAUAAUACUCUACGGCCAGCUUCUCCAAUUCCUCCUUAUCCGAGACCCACCUGCCCUCUCCAUCCUUCAACAUCUCAAUUUUAUUUCUCCGUCUUCUUAUCACCGUAGACGUGUGGAAAAACGAUGUGUUUCUAUCCCCAAGUGCAAUGGCUUUCUCCCUUGCUUUUUGAAACCACAACGUUUCUUCCUGCUCAAGUAAAAGAUCCAAAUUCUUCAACAAUUGCUCUUCCUCUGCCAGCAACUCAUCCGUUUGUAUGUCCACCAGCCUGUCUUGGAUCACCUUUAUAUCUCCCAGCAACUUCUCUUUCCGCAUAUGAAUAUCACCAAACACUUCUUUAUUCCAUUUCCGCAACGUCCUUUGUAGCCCUUCCAACGCUUGCGGUGUGGAAACAUUUGGAUUCCAAGAAUUCGUAAGUAACUCCUUAAAGCUCUCAUGACUCAACCAAGCUGCCUCAAAACGAAAAGGUCUCCUUCGCGGGUCACAUCUCAUUUUCGGAGCUAAUUGUAUAAACAGCGGGACAUGGUCCGACGACAAGAAAGGGAGAUGUGACACAAUCGCCUCCUGCCACUUCAAGCGUGCUUGUGCACAUCCGAACACACGAUCCAACCUUUUUGCAACAAAAGUACUCUCCAUCCGCCCUCUUCUCCAAGUAUAUUUACCUCCUUUAAAACCCAAGUCAAUCAAGGAGAGUUCAUUAAUCCAUUCUCCAAACGCUAAAGAGUCCGGUGAUAAUCUUCCACUUCCCCCCGUCCUCUCAUCCAGCCGUAAAAUGGUAUUGAAAUCUCCCCCCCCCAAUUAGCGGCCCCACUGUUCACCACAUCCUUUAGCUGCCCCCAGAGUCCACUUCUUCUACUAACUGUGGGUGCGGCAUACACAACCACUAAAUCCACACACUCUGACUCGCCGAUGACUUUUGCGUGAAUGAAUUGAUUCGAAGGAUUUCACAAUCUUCAACCGUCCCCACGCUUGNNNNNNNNNNNNNNNNNNNNNNNNNNNNNNNNNNNNNNNNNNNNNNNNNNNNNNNNNNNNNNNNNNNNNNNNNNNNNNNNNNNNNNNNNNNNNNNNNNNNCAUGAUGAUGAUGAUCUUAAAAACACAAAGAACACAAUGAAACACCGGGGCGCACCAUCAUUCCUCCCCGAGACUCCCUCCAACCUCCAUCGAGUCCGUCGUCGGGGCUGAUGUUGUCCCAUUCCCUCCAUUCCCAGAAUCACUUCUCUCCACAAAAUUCUGCUCUGUUCUAUUACUCAACGGCACCCUCACCGGGUCUUCUCUCCCCGCCGUAAAAAUGCCUCCUGGACGACCCAUAGAGCCAGUUUCAACUCGCAGCCUUUUCCCCGACGAGGCCAAUGCUUGAUCCUCUCGUGUAGGCCCAAACACUAACCCCCUAGCUGGCCUUGGCGAAUAUGGAUUCUUCUUCCAUACCCUCGGCCCAUUACUCUUCUUCUCCAAUUCUCCUCCUUUAAAUCCACCAGGCCCACGUGUAAUAUUACCCGAAUUAAAACUUCCCUUUCCUUGCACCACACUCCUUGGAAUAUUCGGGACAUUAGCCACACCCUCGUUUUCCUUAUUUGCACCAUUCACAGUUAUUUCCACAUUCAUUUCUUUCUCCGAUAAAUCCGUAAUCAAUCUGCUGAAUCUGUUAGCUGAGGCAAUAUUUCCAGAUCCCGUAAUCUGCUAAUUAAUAUCCCCAUUCCUGUUCUGGUUCCCACCCGGUUGACUUGGCCGCAAACACUACCUUGUUAACGGGGCAACCGAAUUAGACUUCCGGUUCGACUUUCGCACCAACGUGAACCCAUCCUCCGCCUGUUCCCCCGUCGCCGAACUACUAGUUGGUGUUUGAAUAGCCAUUUGCUCCAUUCUCUCCGAAACUUUCUUGGGGCAUUCGGGUGCUAGAUGACCGUAUACCCCACAUGUUGGAAAAAUGGUACUCAAACCCUCAUAAGAUACGAAGUACCUCUCCCCAUUGAUCCUGACUGACCCCUUUAAUGGCUUCGUCAGGUUCACCUCCACACAAACCCGAGCAAAUCUAGCUCUCUCCAACUUCAUUGUUGUGAGAUCAACUUUAAUCGGCUUCCCCAAACCUUCCGCAAUACCCAUCAAGAUUGCCCUAUGAUAAAAGUUGACUAGGAGGUUUGAAAGCCUCACCCAUACCGGAGUUGUCACAAUCUUAUCUGAUAAAGGAUCAAAAUCGGGAGACCAAGCCUGGACCAUUAAAAUGCUCCCAAAUACCCGUCACGGCCCUCCCGACACUGCCGUCAGAUAAUCAUCCUCCUGAUCAAACCUUAUCAUGAAAAAGUGCCUAGGUAGAUCCACCACGUACAUCCCUCCCAUCGGCUUCCAUAGUUCACGCAACUUCCUACUCAGCGCCGCUAUUGGAACAUGCCUCCCAAGCACCUUCACAAUCAUGCACUGUUUCCACAAGCCAUUCAUGGCCGUCAACACCUCCUGGCCAAUCGUCACAACCGGCUCCCCGUCCUCUCCAUUCGGGAACUCCAACUUCAUCCUCGAAGACACAAAAUCAUCACCCAACACCUUCUCCGGCACCGGCAUCCCACCUCCGUUGCUGCUCUGCACUUUCUCCACCCAUGUUGAAAUAGCCGUCGGAGUAGUAGUUUCCGUCGGAGUAGUUCCCGGCGGACAACCCACCUUCUCCAUUCUCGCAUCCUGAUCGCCCGACCCCAAAACCCUAGCGUCACCCAUUUGAAUUUGACCUCCUUAUUCAAUGAUAAGUUUCACAUGUUCACAACUCUUAUCCACUAAUUUUUCUACUCCGAUAUCGAAAAUAAACAUAUCGAGUUGAAAUAUCUUUCAAUUUUUUUAAUAAAAAAAAUGUACUGUCAAAUAAAAUAAAAUAGAGAUAAUUGGGUGAGAGACAUUAGAUCUGGAUCAAAUAAAAUUUUCGGUAUUAUGAAUCUAAUCCCAAAAACAAUGAUAAUUUUAGCCCCCAUUUCUGCCCAUUUUAAUCUCAUGCGCCUGACGAUUUGUUUUCAUUUUUAAUUUGUGAUUUUUAGAUCUUUAUUUUUCUCUCAUGUUCGUAUCUCUUUCUUUUUCUCUCUCAAUUCUGUUCGAAUUCAUUCAAAUCAACUAGAAAUACAUCGCCGUGUUUACUAUUCACACCGUUUUACCAGAGAAUUAGAUGGUACAUCUAUUUGCCGAAAGAGACAAUAUUCACGAUACAAAUAAGGAUUUACCACAAUUUUUGGACCUCCACUUAUCGAUCUACAAAUCGUAGAUGCAGAUCUAAAGAGCGUAGAUUGACGAUAUGUUAAACAUGUCCUAAUUAGUUAAGGAAUUAAUAGUUAUUUAUAAAUUUAGUUAUAUGUCCAUACACUUUCAUAAAGUUAUAUAUCGAUCCAUAUAAAGCCAAAUUUAUUAAUAGAUAUCUAAGCAAUUAAGUUAGUGGUUUAAAAUUUGUAAUUUCUGCAUAUACGUUUUUGUUAUAGAUUCAAACUAAAGCCGGUCGCAUUUAAUAAUCGUCACUUAUUUCUGUCUGUUGCCGCGUAAAGGUCAAUUCAAGUGUUGAGCAUUUAUUAAUGUCAGAUUUUUCUCCUUUCCUUUGCGCGCAUUGAACAAAUAUGCAUUGCGUUUUUUGUAAUAACCGCCAAACUAAAACCCUUUUCAAUCGUUUUUUGGACGUCGUGAGAGUCAAACCUUUCUAUUGUCUUUUUUUUAUUUAUUUUUGGUAUGAGUCUUUCUAUUGUCUAUUUCCUACUUUUAUACCCCAUUUUUACCUCUACACAAAUUCACUCAAUAAAAUAAUGGCCAACCAAAUUAAUUAAACUUUUAGGGUUAAUUAAAAAGAUAAGAUAAAGCAUGACAUCAUUUAUAUAACGUGUGGGGAAUGAAUCUAACGGCUGAUAUCACUCGAGUGUUCUUUUCCACUUUCCCUUUACAACUCCCACGUGUAAUGUAAUACAAAGAAGUCACUAACAACCGUCAGAUCAAACCCAACAAGAGCCAAUCUUAACGGUUAAAAUCAAUUACUACACGGAUCGCCAACGUGGCAAUACGUGGUAUAUACAUACACGUCGUUGCUUCCACAUUUUACGCAAAUCAUAAACCGCCACAAAACCGAAAAAAGCAAAAAACACUAAUUGUGCUUACCUUUAGAUCCAUUUUUCUUUUUUGGAGCUUUUGAAAAAUGGAGUCAUCACAAGCAACGACGAAGCCAGCGAGAGGUGCCGGAGGAAGAAAAGGAGGAGAUAGGAAGAAGAGUGUUACGAAAUCUGUUAAAGCUGGUCUUCAAUUCCCCGUUGGUCGUAUCGCUCGUUACUUGAAGAAAGGUCGUUACGCUAUCCGAUACGGUUCCGGUGCUCCGGUUUACCUCGCCGCCGUUCUUGAAUACCUCGCCGCUGAGGUAAAUCAGUCUCAGAUCUCGUUGCAUUUUUGAAUUGAUUUAGGGUUUGUGUUAUUGUGUAAUCUAAUAAUCUAUAGAUCUGUGUAAUUUUGGAGAUCUAACGAAUUUGAACCGGUUUUGGCUUAGGUUCUUGAGCUAGCUGGGAACGCAGCGAGAGAUAAUAAGAAGAACAGGAUAAACCCUAGGCAUCUUUGUUUAGCGAUAAGGAACGAUGAAGAAUUGGGGAAAUUGCUACAUGGAGUUACGAUUGCAAGUGGAGGUGUUCUUCCAAACAUUAAUCCAGUUCUUCUUCCUAAGAAGUCUACAGCUGCUGAGAAAGCUUCACCUGCUACCAAAUCUCCUAAGAAGGCUUGAUAAUAAUAUCGAUUGUGCUUUUGGUUAUAUUCGGAUCUAGAAGAAGGAAGAAGGAAGAAGAAGGAGAAACAUCUUGUUUUUUUUUUUUGUUUUAGGGGAUUUGUGUAGGUUUUCUGAAAUCUUCUUCUCUGUGUUUUGGUUUGUCUAUGUAAAACCAUGGGAAGAUGAUUAUGUGUUUUACGGAAUUUGUAAUCGAAAAUAACUAAUUUCUGGGAUUAGUAAACAUCAUCUGUCUAAAUUAGUUUCUGGAUUUCGUACUUAUUUAAACAAUUUAGAUGGAUUUAAGUGAUAUAAUUGAAAUGGUUUUGGUAUACAUGAAGAGUCAGUACUCAGUACCAUUAAUGACAUUAAUUAAAGUAGAUAGUAAUUAACAUAAGGAAAUGAUUGGUCAGUUUGGGCUUUAUUUGGGCCUAAAUUCAUAGGCCCAUUAAAAUUUCUGUUCUUGGUACGUGACUCUACGAGAUUCUGGGAAAGGGGGUUUUGGUUUCCGGUAGGGUUUAUAAUUGCAAACACGACGCGAUUACGAAUUUUCCUAUCGAAUCAAAUUGUUUGGAUUUACGAUGAUGAAUUUUCUGGUUCAAUUCUUCUUUGCGAUUGUUCAAUGAACGAUUUUUGAUUAAUUUGGUUAAACUUUCACUGACUCAUUUGUUGUUUUUUUUUUUUUCUGGGUUAGAGAAGAGCUGUAUCAUCAUCUUCUAAACGAAGCGAACUUAUUCGUAUCGUCGCUGUUGCUACCGCUACUUCUGGAAUUGUAUAUGCUAAUAGUAAUCCAGAUGCAAGUAAGCUACUAUUACCAAGAACCAACUUCUUCACUAUGCAUUGAAAUUUGUCUUUGUUGUUGUUGUGGUUAAUGUGAUCUUAUAGCUGUGAAUCAUAAUGUGAUAUGUAUUCUAGGAACGAGAAUAUCGCUUGCUAUUCCUGAAUCGGUUCGGGAAUCUCUGUUGUUGCUGCCUUGGCGGAUUUCACCGGGUUUGAUUCAUCGUCCUGAUCAAAGCUUGUUCGGUUUGUAGCAAAGUUUCUGAUAUCUGAAUGUUUUAAUGCAAUUUUUGCUCUAGAGUUGCAACUUUGAAAAGUUUGUUUCUUUAUUUAUAUAGGAAAUUUCGCGUUUUCUUCGAGAGUUAGUCCAAAAUCAGAAGCAGCUGUAAAUGAUGAGAAGGGAGUUCCGGUUGAAGCUUCGGAUAGUUCGAAACCAAGUAAUGGCUACUUAGGGAGAGAUACUAUAGCCAAUGCGGCUGCUAGAGUCGGACCAGCGGUUGUCAAUCUAUCGGUUCCUCAGGGUUAGCUUCUUUCUUAUUUUUUUUUUUAAUCUUUUGAUUCCAUUUAUUAUGUUACCAUUGCAGAAUUUGGUUGUAGAAUUCACAGGGGGGGGGGGGGUUUGGUGAUCUUGGGAUUUUUUUCUAGGUUUCCAUGGGAUUUCUAUGGGAAAAAGUAUCGGUUCUGGAACCAUCAUUGAUGCUGAUGGCACGAUAUUGACUUGCGCUCAUGUUGUAGUCGAUUUUCAAAACAUUCGUCAAUCAUCUAAAGGGAGAGUAAGUACGUUAUAUAUUUAUGGUUAGUUGUUGGAGUUAUAGGAAACUGGGAUUGUAGCUGAUUUCUUCUACUGAUUUAUUUUGAUGGAAUCUGUUGAGAACAUAUGUGAAGUUUAGAGUUGUUGAAUUAUAGGUUGAUGUGACGUUGCAAGAUGGUAGAACGUUUGAGGGUGUGGUGGUGAACGCUGAUUUACAAUCCGACAUUGCAUUAGUGAAGAUAAAGUCAAAGACGCCAUUGCCAACGGCUAAACUUGGUUUUUCGAGUAAGCUUCGUCCUGGGGACUGGGUAAUAGCUGUGGGUUGUCCUCUUUCUCUCCAGAACACAAUAACUGCUGGUAUUGUCAGGUAAGUAAACACAUGUGUAUUCUAAAGAUUUUAUUUGAUAAGUUCUGAUAGUAGUCACAACUGUUUGAUUUUUUUUGUUGUCGCUUUUUGCUUUUUCUUGGUGCUAGCUGUGUUGAUCGCAAAAGCAGUGAUUUAGGUUUAGGAGGCACACGUAGAGAAUAUCUCCAAACAGACUGUGCGAUCAAUGCGGUAACUUACAUCUUUCUUUCUCUAUUAAUUGGAAAGUCAUUACAGAUUGACUUGCAGAUCUUGUGAUUUUUAUAUCCUUGUGCUAUGUGUUAGGGAAACUCUGGUGGGCCUCUCGUAAAUUUGGAUGGAGAAGUGAUUGGUGUUAAUAUCAUGAAAGUUUUAGCUGCAGAUGGUCUUGGAUUUUCCGUGCCAAUUGACUCGGUAUCCAAAAUCAUCGAGCAUUUCAAGAAGAGUGGGUAUGCUAGUAAUCUCAAUAUAUUUUCAUCAUGUAUCACAUCUUAAAGGUUGGGAGGAGUUAAAUAAAAUAGUUAUUGUUGCAGUAGAGUUAUUCGGCCAUGGAUUGGGUUAAAAAUGAUCGAACUCAAUAAAAUGAUCAUUGCUCAGCUAAAAGAACGAGACCCGAUGUUUCCUAACGUCGAAAGAGGCAUUCUUGUUCCUACGGUGAGUAUCUAUCCAUCAAGUAGAUCCAAUUAAAAACUGAAUAAUCCAAGUUUUGCAUAUUUACUAUAUAUAGUUGUAUGAUUAUUGUUUUGCAGGUGAUUCCGGGAUCACCAGCUGAUCGAGCUGGCUUUAAACCAGGUGAUGUUGUUGUGAGAUUUGACGGGAAGCCGGUCGAGACCAUCAAAGAGGCAUGUGUCGUCUCUCUCUCACACUCUCUUUAUCUUCUUAGAGUAUUCGUGUGUGAAUGAAGUUUAAUUGCAGAUAAUAGAGAUAAUAGACGACAGAAUCGGAAAGCGGAUGCAAGUAGUUGUGGAAAGAUCAAAUAAAGAAAGGGUCACACUAGAAGUCAUUCCUGAGGAGGCUAAUCCAGACAUGUGAGACGACGACUCGGUGAGUUUUGAAAUCAAACUUUACGAUAUUCAACCAAAUGUAUUGAAAUUCUUGAUAGUCUUCAGCUGUAGUUGAUCUUCUUUACUUUGGUCUCAUUAGUUCCUUUCUCGACCACUUUAUAAAGAAACUAAGUAAGACAGAUAACCACCAAGAUGUUAAUUAAACUUUGGACAGAAAAAACAUCUUAAUGGUAGCAAAUAAUAUAAAAGCUUGUCGCUACUCGCUACUUUUCUUUGAGUUGUGUUGAGUGAUGAAUUUGGUACUAGUAGGUAUUUUCUAUUGUUUUUUUUUUUCUUUUCGAAGUUUGUGUUUCUAUUUGUGUAUUGAAAAAGAAAAAAUGUUAAAAAAGUUUUUCAAGUGAAAAGGUAUUAAAAAGAUGGCAAAAUAGUUAGCGUUUAAAUUUAGUUAAUUGAUUUAAAACAACAACCAAACCAUACGAAUUUUGUGGAUAAAUAUUAUCAUCAGAAAAUCUUUCCACCAAAUCGAACAUUGACCAGUUGGUUGUUGUACUGGUUAAGUCCUCAACGCCAUGAGGUCAUGUGUUCGACUCAAAUUUGGUACCAAAGUUGUGCGCCGUUUGGUUCCUCUCUCUCUCUCUCUUUCUCGUGAACAACACAUGACGACGUCGUCUUAUAUCUCUUCAUAAUGAGAGGUAAUAAAAAUUACCUUUUUUGAACAUGUAAAUAAAAUAAAAUUUUAUGUUUUCCGACUGUGAUUACAAAUUUCUACUUAUAAUUUUUUUUUCUUUUUUGGUGGGUUUGGCUUCAACUUUGAUCAGCUAUGUGGGCAGGCCUUGUUUACCACCAAGUAGAUUAAGACCAAUGAGACCAUAUAAUCUUACACAACAAUGGAAUUGGUUCGGCAUAGUGCAUCAAAUAUCAAAACAUACAAGUUCAAUACACGAAAAAUAAAACAAGGAGAGAGGGAGAGAGAUUCAUUAUAAAUUAACGAACCAAACUAAUACCUAACAUACAAAUAUAUCACCAAAACCAAACAAACACUCAAAUUUUCUCUCAACGGGCUUCGUUUUGUUACAAGGGAUGGUAAGGUACGUAGCCCAAUAAGCCCGUGACAUUAGCCACUACUUCGUUGCAUUUUGACAAAAGGUUGAGCAUCUGGUGAGAGAUGUCUCCAGCGCAAACCGCUGGGUUCGGGCCACGGAAGUUUCUUGAAGGUGGCAUCGGUGGUUCGACAUGGUCUAUUGGGUUAAUGGGAUGUUGUUGUGGUUUUGUGUAUUGUGGAGGGAGAGGAAGAAUUGGAGGCAAUGUAGAAGGAGGAAGCUGUUGAUGAUGAACAACGUUUUGAAACUUCUUACUAACAAAUUCCAUUGCAACAGAUGAUGAUGAUGAUGAAGAAGGUCCACUGUUUCUAUUCGAGAUUGUUGUGACUGGUGGUGGCUCGGUGGUUGCUUUACUCGAGUUUUCUUCACCACCUAACAUGAAUUUGACUCUUACAGUUGCGCGGUUACCGUUUCCGUUGUUGCUACUACUGCUCGGGUCAUCAACUGGUUUCUUCAAGCAGGAUUUGAGGUUGACGUUUGGUGGUGGUAAGGUUGGUUGGUGAAGUGGUGGUGCUUGGUCUAGCCACUGACUCUGUGGUUCAUCAUCUUCCUUUGUGUUUUCUGGUUCACGAGGCUCGGCUUUAGGAGCAUCCACAUCACGGAGAAAGUACUUUACGUUCACAUUUCCAAAUAGAGUGUUGUUUCCUGUUGCAUAUCGAAAAGCAGUCUGUGCAUCGGCUUUGUACAGAAACACAACACGGCAGGUCGAUGAUUUCCAGAAAACUCUAAUGGCGGAUUGAUCUAACAGCCCGAAGCGACCAAAUCUCGCCUUUAGUAAUGCAGCUGAAGGGAGAGACGUGCCAGGUGGGAAUUUCAUGACCAGCAUUGUGGGCUCAACCACCUUAACUGAUGGAGCCGUUUUCUUCCCGGUUUGAGCUCUGGCUGCUUUUGCUUGUACCGCACUGCUUUGCUCUCUUACUGGUUUUAUACUAUCCUUUGCUUCUCGGCUGAUCUUCUUCUCAGAAGUCAUUGAUUUCAACUGAUUAGUUUUCUUCAGCUUCUUAGCUGAUGGGAUGUCAUCUUGACGAUCAGAAGAGAGACGUUUUUUUCCAGCUUUUGAUGGGUCUUCAGUUCUCUUCACAGUCUUGACAGGUUUUGAGGGUUUUGUGUCUCUGGCAUUUUCGACAGUAGCAUCAGAGGAAUGCACAGACAAGCUUUUCUGGUAAUUAAGUGAACGGAAACGGAGAAAAAAUUUCCUAGCAGCUCCAAAAGAAGUAACUGAUGAACCAUGGAAAGGGUCAAGAGAGAGAUCUUGCAGAUGACUCAACAGCUGCGGCACAUCGACUUCCAUAUACGACUGUAAAUGCAUUGAACCAAGCUGGGACAAUUUCUUGGCCCCAGCUUCCCCGGAAGACAAAAACUUUCUCUUCACUGCAUGGUCAGAGUCAGGCUCUUUCUUCUUUUUCUUUUUCUUUUUUGGCUCCGAAGGUGGAUCCUCUGAGCCCAUUUCACUUGAAGAUCGUUUAGAAACUUUGACUUUCUUGAUUACAGAGCCUGUGGAACUUUUCCCCUCAGAUGCUGAGGUAUGAGACUCAAGCAGGGGUUGGAGAGAGCUUUCAGCUGAUCCAAGAUCUGUUCCAGCCUCUUCUUUACGACUCGCCAUAGCUUCAGAUUUCCCAUGCUCUGGAAGUACAUCAGACCUUUCUUCCAUUUUCUCCUUUGAUUCUUCGGCUAAACCCUUUUCUUCAUCAAGAGAGAGCAUUGGAACUGAACAUUCUUUACCAGGAAUAGCUGCACUUGAAGAGGCAAAAUCAAUGCCAACAAUCCCAGACUGCUCAUCUUUCACUGGAGUUUGAAGCAUUGGAGCUCUUCUCUGCAGCACAAAAUCCCCGUCCAAAGAUCCAUCAAUUCCCUGGAUAUGAGAAGUUAAUGAACUUGCUUCAAUUUGGCCAAAUUGAACAGACUUAUCACCAGCUUUAUCCCUUCCUUUGAGAAGAUACUUGUCCUUUUUUUUAGAGUCCUUAACCUUUUUGGGUUUUUUAGAGCUCUUCAGGUCACCUAGCGUUUCUGCUAUGACCAGGGGGCCACUCAAGGGAGCUGGAAACAUGAGAAAUUGGAAAAACACAUCAACCACCAAUAUAUAAACAAUGAAGCAAGCAAGGUAAACGUAUGCGGGACUCUCCGCAAUAGAAAGAGGCGCAGAAUUGUUAUUAGGCCACCUUUUGCAAUGCAGGGUUUAAAAUCAAUGAGACUUCACGCUUCUUUCAAGCAUGCUAAUGUAAAGAAUACAAGUACAAAGAUAUAAAUCCUAAAAUCAUGAGCACCGAGGAUUUAAUAGUCAAAUCCUAAAACAAAGUUACAGUAUCCCACAUCUCUGUAACAAAUAUGAUAUGAUAUAUGUUUCAGGUAUACAUAGAAAAAAUCCACAUACAAAGUAAAGAUUACACAUAAAUGGAAACAACCACGAUUUUCUGAAAAGUGACAAUACCUCGAGGCGGUGCUCUAUUAUGAGAUUCAUGCGAACUCACUGAAGAGCGUGCAGAUUUUGUUCCAAAGGCCUGUGCAUAGGUUUCAUCAAACUCCUCGAACACUGCCUUGCGGAAAGAAAAAAACACUGCUUUCUUCUUCAUAAACUUUAAACUGUCUGGAUCACACUCUUGAGGUGCUAACGCCAAUUGCUUCACAAACGAAAGGGUUUCAACGGGUAAAAACUUAUCCCUAGAAUUCUUAAUCUGGUCAGCAGAGUAAAGGGCUUGAAGCUCGUAAUCGGGCACAUCAACAGCAAAAUAAUCUUCCACAUUAGUAGGCCUAAAGUUAUAAGGAUUCCGACAUUUACAAGUCAAACCAAGAGCUGACCUUCUACUCGCCUCAUCCAUGGCUUCCUCCACAGCUCUAACAAAAUGCUUCGAAACAGUCUGCUGUGAUUUCUCCUCCAAAUUAGGUUCGAAAGGAAUAAGCUCAGCAGGAUCAAACCAACCAUAACUACUAUCCCCGAAAAACGCAACAAGAACAUGAUCAAUCCUCCUCAUACGACGAACAGAAGGAGACGCAAAAGCUUCAUUAAAUAUAUGACCAGGCCACCAAGGAUGAGACUUUACCUUACCCCAAACCAAAUCUCCAACUUCAAACCCAUAACUCAAUGCCCUCGAAACUCCAGAACCCAUUUUCUCACUCGCAACAUAAUCAUCAAACUCAGAUAAAAGAGAUUUAUAAUCCGAAACUCCUAUUUUCUCUUCCUUCAAAUCCAAAUUCUUCUCAUCAGCUUCAGAACCAAGCUCACUAGAUUGAUCAUCGGAGCCAUCUUCUUCUUCUUCUUCAUUAUGCUCAGAACUAUCAUCAUCCUUAUCAAUUAAAACAUCCUCGCUUUUAAUCUCAGAUUUCGUUUCACUAAUAUCAUCUUCCUCCUCACUCCCUACGACACCAUUUUUCUCCGAUCUCUCACUCUCAGAAACCCUAACAUCGCCAUCGUCAUUUCCAACAGCCGAAUCGAGCUCCAUAGGUGAAGAAGCUGCAACAUCAUCAUCAUUAUCAAUGGCUUCGUGACCAUCCCCGUUCGAAUCAACAACAGUAUCAUCACCUUGAGUUACCUUAGGAUCCUGAAUCGAAUCCGUUUGUUGAGCAAUCUCAGCAUCCUCGUUCAUCACCGGAAUCAAUGGAGUUCCCCAAAUUACAAAUCGAUAAGAACCCUAGCCAACAACAACAACUCUCUGUUGAAGCAACAAUCCUCCGAUGAGAGAUUGAUUAUCCGUAUUUGGUUCUCGAGGACAAGAAAAUGAAAGAGACCGAUUUAACUAUUAAAAAAAAAAAAAAAAGACACUGCAAAUCGAGAGAAAGACAAUAAAUUAAAAACGAAAAAUUAGAGAAAAUAUAUCUACUGAAUUGGGCUUAUUCGGCCCAUCAAAACAAAUAUAAGCCCGUUUAAAAAACAUGGUUUGAAGAAACGACGUCGUAUGAUCCAAAACCUGAAACAAUCGCUUCUCCUUCUUCCUCACCCUCAAGCGCCGACUUCAAUCUUUUUCUUCUUCGAAUCUCUUCUUCUUUGUUUUUUCUCUCGGCUAAUCUCUCUAUCGGGUACGUCUCUUAUCUCGAUUUCAAUGUUCUUAUUUUGUUCGCAUAGCUAUGAUACAGGAACCAGAACGAUGUAAUAGAUAGAAUAAAGCCUUGGGAAUAUUUGCCAUUUUUCUCCAUUUCACCUGUUGUUGUUGGGUUCUAGAUUAAAUAAAAAUCUAGAGUAUAGUUCUAAGUUCUUUCUAUAGACAUGGUUUUAUAUACGUUUCAGUGGGAUUUAUGAUUGAAAGUUUCAGUCUUUGAACAUUAGGCCAUGGUGGUUUGUUGUUUUAAUGCUUGAGUUUAGGUUAACAACAAACUACUUUGUAGCUCUAAAGACUCAGAUUUUUUUCACAUGAUGUCGAUUUUCGUAAUUGUUUAUCAACUUAAAGUUGGAAUGUGUGAAAGACCUUCUAUGUCCUUCUUUGGCAGAUUUUUGAUCUAAAGUUUUGAAAUCAUGGAGGUCGUUGAUAUUGAUGCUCGAGCAGCUAAGUUAGGGAUUAAUUGGUCUCAGGUUAAUUUUGAUUCCAUCCAACUUCCUCCUGGAGAAGACUUUGGGAUUGAGAGGUGAGAUUUUUCAUUAGAUCUCUGGUUGUUCAUAUCUCCUGCUUGGUUUUUUGUAUUGAGAAUGCUAAAUUGUUUCUCAUAAAUACGCAUGCUUUUAUUUAUAAUCUUCUUGUGUUUAUACGACGGGAUGAUUGUUUUCUAGGCCGUUUAUUUAUAUAUUUGAAAAUUUCAUGUAUGAUGUAUCUUAGUGAUAUGUUGGUUUAUUCUAGCUUGAUUGUGCCCCAAGCUUAAUAGCUUAUUGUGUUUAUAUAUAUUAUCUAGGAACGUAUGGCAAUGGACCUGAUUCAUUAUACACUCUUUUCUGUGGUGGCUGUAGUGAUGAUGAAGCUGUUUACCACGAUGACCAGUCAGAAUUCGACACUGGAUUCGGUAACAUUAUCGUGGUUGAUCACCUCCCUGUUGUUCCCAAGGAGAAGUUUGAGAAACUUGAAGGUGUUGUCAAGAAAAUUUACAACCAGUUAGGUGUGAUCAAGGAAAAUGGACUGUGGAUGCCCGUUGAUCCCGACACCAAGAUGACAUUGGGCUACUGUUUUAUUGAGUUCAAUACUCCUCAGGUUAUUAGCUUAAUCUCUGUUUAGUUAGUUCAAGCAAUAAUGUAGGCCUCAUUUCAAUACUUUAUAUCUCGUAGUCGUUAGAAAGGAGACAGAACUAGAUUGUUCUCAAUGGUUGUGUAUUUUCUAAGAGUUUUUCUCGAUGUCUGGGCUCUUUGCAGGAAGCACAAAACGCUAAGGAAAAGUCUCAUGGCUACAAGUUGGACAAGUCUCACAUCUUUGCUGUAAACAUGUUCGAUGAUUUCGACAGGUUGAUGAAUGUGCGGGAGGAGUGGGAGCCUCCUCAGGCCAGGCCGUAUGUCCCUGGGGUAUGUGUACCUUUAAACUUUUUCUUUGAAUAACUUCCAUUGCAUCUGUGCAAUCACUUCUUUAUUUUGGUAAUUCGCUGAUUGAUUCAGUGAAACCAUUCAUGUGUCUGGCAGCUGCAUUAGAGUUAGGAUCUGUUUACGCAUUUACUGUAUACGAACGAGUAAUUAUUAAUAGCGUAAAUUUUGUUGCAUGCAGCCUUUCAAGGUGUUUGUUGUCGUUACUUAUAUGGUGUUUGUUUUUCAGGAAAAUUUACAAAAGUGGCUUACUGAUGACAAAGCCCGGGACCAGCUAGUUAUUCGUUCUGGCCCUGAUACUGAAGUUUACUGGAAUGAUGCUAGGCAGAAGAAGCCUGAACCUGUUCAUAAGCGUCCUGUAAGUUACUUACAUCUUCCUGUGUAUAUCCCUUAUUUGUUACUUGACUGUUUAGAGCAAUAGUAUAUGUUAUGUUACCAUCAUUUGAAUAAAUGAUGUUCUCUUCCUAUGCAGUAUUGGACAGAGAGUUAUGUGCAGUGGUCUCCUUUAGGUACAUACCUUGUGACACUUCACAAGCAGGGGGCAGCUGUUUGGGGUGGUGCUGAUACAUUCACACGUCUCAUGCGUUAUCAGCAUUCUAUGGUUUGACUUUCCUUUUAAUUGCUAUGUAUAGUACUUCCGUUAUUCCUCUAUUGGCCUGAAAAUUGACAUCUUUUGUUGAUUCCGUUUUAGGUUAAACUAGUUGAUUUCUCACCAGGUGAGAAAUAUCUGGUAACUUACCACAGCCAAGAACCAAGCAACCCGCGGGAUGCAAGUGUGAGUGCAUCUUUGAUUCCGUUCUUUCCAACUUUUAUUUGCAUAUCAUUUCUGUGCAAAGGAUUCUGAUUUCUGUCAAACUUUCAGAAAGUAGAGAUUAAGGUUUUUGAUGUGAGAACUGGGAGGAUGAUGAGAGAUUUCAAGGGUAGUGCUGAUGAGUUUUCAAUUGGAGGACCUGGUGGUGUUGCUGGUGCCUCUUGGCCUGUUUUCAGGUAAUUUCUUCAACUGCCUGUCAAUGUCCUUACAGAUAAAUAGUCAAAAUCUAUCCUCUAUUCCACUAUUAUGCACAUUUGUUGAUUAUCUUGUAAAAUUUUCUGCAGAUGGGCUGGUGGAAAAGAUGAUAAAUACUUUGCCAAGCUUAGCAAAAACACUAUCUCCGUCUAUGAGACUGAGACUUUCAGCCUAAUAGACAAGAAAUCCAUGAAGGUUGAUAAUGUUGUGGAUAUCUGCUGGUCUCCUACUGAUUCCAUCCUUUCAUUGUUUGUUCCUGAACAAGGUGGUGGAAACCAACCUGCCAAGGUAUGUUUUUAUUAUUUAAUAUGUAGACGAAAAGCCCCGAAUCGUCAAUUCGCUUCAGUUUCUCUGCCAGUUGUUUUGUAUUUACAUGUUGAUAUCCCUGUCUUCAGGUCGCUCUAGUCCAAAUCCCGAGCAAGGUGGAGCUGAGGCAGAAGAAUCUCUUCAGUGUGAGCGACUGCAAGAUGUACUGGCAGAGUAGUGGAGAGUAUCUUGCUGUCAAGGUUGAUCGGUACACGAAAACUAAGAAGAGCACAUACUCUGGAUUUGAGCUUUUCCGUAUCAAAGAAAGGGAUAUUCCCAUCGAGGUUCUUGAGCUGGACAACAAGAACGACAAGAUCAUUGCUUUCGCGUGGGAGCCCAAGGGUCACAGGUUUGCUGUGAUUCAUGGUGACCAACCAAGACCAGACGUCAGUUUCUACUCAAUGAAGACCACACAAAACACUGGAAGGGUUUCAAAGCUCGCAACUUUGAAGGCCAAACAAGCUAAUGCCCUCUUCUGGUCGCCCACAGGCAAGUACAUAAUUCUUGCUGGGUUAAAAGGUUUCAAUGGCCAGCUUGAGUUUUUCAACGUGGAUGAGCUCGAGACAAUGGCCACAGCUGAACACUUCAUGGCCACUGAUAUCGAAUGGGACCCGACUGGAAGGUACUACUGUCUUAAAACUAAACCAGGCCAUUGGUUGUUUCUCUUUGUUCCAAUUGCUGAUGCUGUUUGCACUUUUAUAUUUUCAAAGGUACGUAGCAACCGCGGUGACAUCAGUCCACGAGAUGGAGAAUGGGUUCACCAUAUGGUCUUUCAACGGGAUUGUGAUUUACCGGAUACUGAAGGAUCAUUUCUUCCAGGUAUGUAACAAAAAACUCGGUCUCAAACUAGCACCAUCCAUUUUCCAAUGUCUAAUAAAAUAUUUGUGUAUGGUUGGUUACACAGUUGGCCUGGCGUCCAAGACCGCCAUCAUUCUUGACUGCAGAGAAGGAAGAAGAGAUAGCAAAGAACCUGAAGAAGUACAGCAAGAAGUAUGAGGCAGAGGAUCAGGACGUGUCGUUGCUGUUGAGUGAACAAGACAGAGAGAAGAGGAAGGCAUUAAAGGACGAAUGGGAGAAAUGGGUGAUGCAGUGGAAGGCUCUGCAUGAAGAGGAGAAACUCGCGAGGCAAAAUCUUCGGGAUGGUGAAGUUAGUGAUGUGGAAGAAGAUGAGUAUGAAGCCAAAGAAGUUGAGUUUGAGGAUCUUAUUGAUGUCACUGAGGAAAUCGUUCAGGAGUCGAUGUAAGAUACUAUGUCUCUUUUGUUGCCCUCUCUGAGUUCUUCAAAUCUCUUAGACAUUUUUAAAUAGCGUUCUCUAAACUUCGAAGAGAAUUUUUGGUUCCUUGGAUAUUGUUUCUGUUGUCAUUAUUAAGUUUUCUUAAUUAAAUGUCUGUUUUGUACCAAGUUGUAGAAGUUAAAAAGGCAGUAGUAGUUGUUGAUAUGGUGGUAAUCACAUGUAACGGUAUUAAAUGGUAUAAAAAUUACCAAUACAAUAUAUGUAGCUUGUAAUGAGUUCACAUCUCUACUCUUAACAGUGUCAUAACUACACAGAUCGUCAGGCCCAUAUAGAAUCUGAAUCUUCAAUGGUAAUAAUAAUGCUCAAUCAUACGGUAGUAGAGAAAUACCUAUUUAGACCUUAUUUUCAAUAAGGAGCAUGCCUAAAGGAGGAGACACAAAAAGUUUGUCUAUAUUCUCUUGUUAAAAUACUGAUAUUGGUAAUGACAAAAAAAAAGAGGUAUCGGAAACAAAAAAAUUUCAUGGGGGGGGAUCAUGUUUUAGGCGGAGGAGUUCCAGCGAGCCAACCCCAGACGCCACCAGAGCUCUGUCGUUUGGCAUUCAUGGCGGCUACUUGUUCAGACGCAACGGCUCUUUGACGUUGGAGGAGUUCAAGUUCCUUUUGAAGUGUUUCCAUUGUUUGAAGCUUUUGUCUUAGUUCUGCAACUUCAACCUGCAGGCACUUUGAGUGAUUUUUGUUAGGAUUUGGUCAACAUUGGAGAGGAAUGUUUCACCAUCGAGAUUCAAACACCUUGAUUGUUCCACUGCCAGUUGAUUCCGCACGGAUUGAAGUUCCUAUUAGAUGGAAUACCAAAUAUGUUGAUCAACAAAAGAAUCUCCAAGAAAUUCUCAACUCAUUUGUCCUGCUUAUUUGUCAUUUUAACGGUUUAUUGAAAUUUUCCAAAAUACUAAAUUUUAAGACUGAAUAAGAACCAAUUUUCAGAAAACCAACUACACGAUUGUGUUCUGGUAGAAGCCGGAAAAAAGGCAAGAGAGAUUCAUGAAGGUAAUAGUAUUGUUACCUUGUACAACUCUGUAUUUCGUGUGUCUAUCUCUGCUAGCUCUUCCUUUAGUUGGAGAGUUUGUAUCUUUUCCUUGUUGAGUGAUGCCCCCACUUCUUCUUUUUCGGAUUCAAGGGUUGUGAUAAUGCGUUCGGCUUUUCCUUCAACCUGAGGAUUUAGUAUCCAGAUUACAAAGGGGAAAAAUAAGAGAUGCAUUGUGAUUAUCUAGUCUAAUUUGAUAUUCACAGUGUUUAGGGAGAGAAAAAUCAGGCGGGAAGACACCUUUAAUCUGGAGUUAACAUUAUCCAUGACAAUUUCCCUUACUUUGCCUUCUUGGCUCACCUCGAUCUCAGACUCAAUAUCUCUAGUCGUGGCGUUAUUAACAGCGGAAAAACUAUCUGGCACAGCAGAAGCUCCCAUAAUCUUGGAUUUCAAGCUUGAUUUGUGGCUUGGUUUAAGAACAUUCACCUGAUUCGCCAAAAAACAGAAUUAAUAGCCAAGUUUUAAACCAAAUCAGGAAAAAACGUAUUUAUCGGUACUUUGUUGUUGUAAUGUCCGUUGUAUCCACCAAAAGCAACAACUAUGUCUUCGCCAUUGUAUGAGCUCACAACUAAACUCAAUCCCUGUCAUCAAAGGAACAGUUGCAGCUCAAUUCUCAAAUAUUGAAGAGCAAAUCACAAGACUGAUUUUAUAUAAUGUCUUGGAAAAUUCAAGUUUCAUGUAUCAGGAUGGGGCAGUGUUUUAAAUACCUCACUAGCGAGAGGUACAUGUCCUUGGACUGAAGUGACUACUGACCACGCAAGAGUUGACAUAUUUAAUACAACAGUCUUAGAUGCCCCUGCGGUAAAGUACCAGGAAGUAUCACAAUUAAUCACACUGUACAAAAAAAAAAAACGAAGCAACUAUCAAGUUUUUUACCCAGGAAAAGUUCCAGUGAUGUAACAUAAAGAGCAACACAUGCAGGUAUCAAAACGCAGGGAAUAGCAGAAACAUACCGGUUUUGUUAUCUCCACCACCAACAAUAUACCAAUUUUCACCAAUUGUCACACCGGCGUGUCCAGCACGUGGAGUUGGUGCUUCACCUUGUUGUGUAUGUCUUGACCACUCCAUCUAUAAAACGGAACAGAAUCUGUCAAGAAACCGACAAAGUACGUUGCUAAAACAAAAGAAGCUUGCUUGCAUACAGUUUGCAGAUCGAGGACAUGCAGAUCAUCAAAACAAGUUGUAUGUGAUCCUCCACCAAAGAUUAGAAGGUAACGCUCAGCAUGCACUGCAGCAGCAUGAUCAGACCUUGGAGUUGGAGGAGAACCCCUGCAAGUUGACAGCGCUUUAACCUUCAACUGCUGAUCUUUUAUUGACAACUAAGAUAUGAAUGUAGAUAGUUGGCAGCUUUAUAAAAUUUCCAUCGUUUGCUGGAUAUAUAAACUAGUCUUCAAACAGACCUGAGUUAUUCAAGUGAGAAUAAAAUGCAGUAACAUCAUAAGAUCUUACACGACAUCCAUCUCAUCCCAGGUCAUGGUAUCUAGAUGAAGUAUAUGCAAAUCGUUUAGGAGCGAUUUCUUUCCAUCCUGGCCACCAAAUAUCACCAAGCUUUUUCCCACAAGGGUCGCUGACUGACCUCCACGGGAAAUCUGCAUGGGAGAGAGUGAUAAAAGUUGUAUCAAUUUAAGCAGCUAUACUACAUGCUCAAUUUCCAAUAUCAGAAAGGAGAUCAAGAAAUUGCAUUCAGAAUGCAACUUAACACCUGAAUAUAUGACGAAGGACGAAAGAGAGUAACUUCAUUUUUUUCUUCCAGAUGUUCAAAAUUUUUUACUACUAGAUUGGAAUAUUUCCCAUAUAAGGAUUAGAAAAAUUGGGAGAAAAGAAGAUUUUACCGGUGGCUUCCCGUGUGUCUUUAAGAUUGACCAUGAACAGCUAAGCAGAUCAAAUUCCUUCACUGUGAUGAGAAAACAAAAGAAAACUGAUAUACAAGAAUUGCUAUGCUCCAGAGAAUAAUAACUUACCUCCAAUUAACAAUUUCAAAAGUGUUUUUACUCUUACCUAUCAUGAAUUCUGAGGGAUCCUUUGUAUGACCACCGACAGACAAAAGCUUGCUUUCCCAUGGUAUCUACAUAACAAACAAAGAAGGCCAGCAUGAGGAAUUCAUGAGGAGAUUACUGUACUUUGCCCCCAAACCUGCCCAUGAUAUUUCAAGGCUAGAAUACCAAAGAAAGAAAAACCGAAACAAAACGCAAGUUAAAAUACUAACCAAAGAAUGACCAGCACAGUGAGUUAGUUUUGCUGGAGAUGAAGUUUCCUGUGAUUCAGUCACAACCUUGGUUUCAACUCUUGACCAAGUCCAGUUUUUUAAAUCUAGAACCUGUAUUUGAAACACCAUUCACAGAAGACAUGCUUCCGAAUUGUCAGCAGACGUGUCACAGUAAAUAAUAGGAGAAGGUUCUCGAGGGUAGGCAAAACUGAAACCAAAUAUUCGAUUUGAUCAGUUGAUCCUAUCAUAGAAUGAGAUAUGUUGCUUACAUGAAGAUCACCUAAAUAACGCCCAUUGUGGUUUCCACCAUACACAUACAUCUUAUCUUGAAUAACCGCUGCUCCAUGCUGCAAUGAAUAUAGUAAGAAAGAAUUAAAAAAGAGAGAAGAUUCACGGAAAUAUCGGUUUCUUUCAUGUUCCACAAUAUAGUGAAAUCAAAUAUUACCUCAUACCGAGCUUUUGGUGGCUGACCUGGUGUUCGUGGUGCAGUCCACUUAUUAUACACAGAAACAGUAUUUGGGUCUUCCAAAACUACAUCUUUAUCUUGCGUUACCGUCAAGCGCUCAUCCUCGGUAGAAAUCGUCUUUGUCUCACCAAAUGAAGCUCCACUCUCAAAACUAGGCUCGGCCUUUGUGCUCUACGACAGAGAAUCAAUUUAGUAAAUGACUACGAGACUUAUCUUUUGCAACAGGAAAGAAAAGUCUAAACCGAGACAUAGAAUGCUGGUAUAUACAAGGAUCAAACAGUUCAGACGAGGCAUUGAUAUUUUGGUAGCAAUACAUACACACACUGGAUCCUAUGUAUAGGUGAUGAAAGUGCUUAAUUUGGGAUCCAAAACUCACAUUGAUUUGGACAUCUACAGCAGGCUCUAGAACAGAGUUAGAUGCCCUUGGAUACCAGCCAGGAUCUUCUUUCUUUUUAAACGUGAGCAAUAGGGAGAAGUUAGCCUAUGAUCAACAAAUUAAGAGAAAUGAGAAUAAACUCCUCUGUUGAUUACCUCUAAAAUUUUCACAAAGAGACGCAUUGCUUCAAUGGAGAGCAUGGUUCCAAGCCCCUGCCAACUAGUAAACAUGUACUUCUAUUAGGAAGUUCACAAGGACAAACGUUCUAUGCUCAUUGUUCAUAGAUAAUAUCCAAAGGAAAUGAGGUCUGCAAUGUAGAUCUCUCUUUGCAUAAUGGCAUUCUCUAAGAUGAUACAUGUCUCCGGCAAUUUGCAUGCAUGCUAAAAUUAAGGUACUCUCUAACAUCUUACAUCUACAAUACUUGUUCCUCUAGCCCUAAUUCAUGAGACAUCUUGAUCUUUGUACUCAGAAGCUACUCAAACAAUUGAUGAAACUAAAGAAAGCCUCACCAAAUGCAGAAUAGCAGAGUUAUUAUUGAUAGACACAAAAGUAAAAACUAACCUUUUCCAUUUGCUUUGCUCUACUGGAUUCCACGCACUAGGUUUUGGAAUAUUGCAAGGUCCUAGAGUAGCCUGUUAACAUGUCAAGGGAAAAAAAAUCAAAAUAGUAAGCAUCUUUAUCUCAAGGAUAUGAUGAUGAAUAAAUCAAGUCAGCAAAUCAAUUAGGUAAAAACGAAAAUUCUCUCUCUGUGACAAAAGAAACCAGUUAUCAUCAUCAUAAAAUAGCCCACCACAAUUCUCAUCUUGGCUAAGAAGAACCAACAAUAUCAUGACUCUGAGGUUCAUAGCAAUGAAGAUAAUGUGGAAUCAGCAUUGUCUAAUCUACAGAGAUUAGUACCAACAUUCAUAUAUAUUGUAGCAAAUUGCGAAAGUAGGGAAAGCAACAUCACACGAGAUCUCUGUGGAAAUCGAAUUGACGAACCUGCUGGUGCAACGCGUAGAGAAGCAAAGAGGUAUCGUUGGAGAAUUUGGAGCUGAGUUGUUUCACCGACGAUUGAGAUCCGUCGAGGCCAACGUACGAUGCGGCGGCGUAGAAUCUCUCCGGGUAAGCAAGGCCAGAGCUCGCUCUCACCAUGUGAGCCAUUUUGAUCGGAGAUUUGAGGAAGAAGCCAAAGGAGGAAGCAAAGUUUCAAGUUUUCGGAUUAAUACUAAUUUAUUUUUCAGUUAAUUGAAUUACAAAAACUUGAUGCAGCGUUUAUAUAGCGGCACGACAAGUUUCUAUUUGCAUGCAACAAAUUCCAAAAUCCAAUUUUUAAUGUUUUUGGCACAAACUUCACAAGUCAACAACAAUAAAUUGUAAGAGUUAUUAUGUACAAAGACAAUACUCCCUCCGUUUCGUUUUAGUUGUCGUUUAAGGUUUUCUCACACAAAUUAAGAAAAACAUUAAAUUUAUGUUUUACCCUUUAUUAAUAUAUUUUAUAAAUAAUGCGAGCUGUCGCAUCAACAUAAAAUAUAAUUUUACCAAAAAAAAAAUAUAUAUAUAUAUAUAUUUUAUAAAAAAAUUCAUUGGCCGAAACAUUAAAACAGUAGGGAUAAAACUAGAAUUUUCACCAAACAUUUGCAUCGAAAACCUAAAACGACAACUAUUAUGAAACAAAAUUUUAACUCUAAAACGACAAGUAAAGCGAAACGGAAGGAGUACUAAUUAGCUGAGAAACAUUUGUUAUUUUUUGACUGAUAAAUUAUAUCUUCACAAAUCACAAGUUUCAUUCACAAAUCACAAUCCAAAAUCCAUUUACGAUGGUUUUUGAUGAUUUAAUAAAGAAAAUGAGAGUUUUUCUUGAUUUCCUUGUUACGGUUAGAACUCGAGAGUUCUCAACGGAAUAAGAAGACUUGGAUUCUCGGAUUUCGAAGACUAAACGAGUUCCUCCUCGUGUUUAUCGUAGUUUCAAUUACAAUUGUCUCUGUGGGCAUGUUCGUUUAUUAAUCACUGCGACAGCGAUAACAACUCCAACGAAGGCAAAAAAUAUAACGGAGAUAAAAAAACAGUCGUUCAAUAUGUCGCUGUUAUUAGCAUCUAGCGACUCCUCUCCACACUACUCUCUACAGACUCCACGUAAUUGUGUUAAGCAACUGUUUUUUUUUGGUCGCUGGAUCUAAUCGCAGCGUUUGGAAAAAGAACAUGGCCGUGUAAGAACAGAUCGUGGUAGUAACUAUCAAAAUUUUGGGAAAACUUUUGAUGUUGUUGAACAUUAUCGCAAAACAAACCAUUUGGCAAGAUUGUUGUGUACAUCGAAACUUAAAUUAAAUGGUAGUUUUGUUAUAGGUUCAUUGACAUCUUCGGAAUAAACAAACUUAUGGCCAAUAUUGUUAACAUAAAUCUGCUCAAACUUACUAGUAAGAACAACAACAGGAAAAAAAACUAUAAAGAGGAUUUUCUCAUUCAAUAAGAUUAAAACUAACCAAAGUGCCAAGGAAGAAUUGCUAAUGGCAGAACAAGAAACUCAACCUAUCGGUGCCCCGUUUGGUGUAUCAUUGGAGCUCCUAUGGGACUUGUGCUUCGAUCUCUUCUCCCGUUUCUUACUCCUGAGGAAAAUAAAUAGAGAAGGGAGUCAACUGAAGAAGCAAAAACUAUAUAUAUAAAUAUAUAUAUAUAUAUAUAGUGGUUAGAAGAAUUAAUAGAAGAGAGGUUAAUGUACUCGUCAUGUGAAGAACUAUGUCCUAGACAAGAUUUUAGCUUCCGGUUGAUAUGCUUCAUGUCCUUUUCACUUGGUUUCUUGUAGUUCUUUACCUGCAAAAAGAGAGAGCAUCUAGUAAAACUGCCUUUUAGAUAUGAAAGUUUCAUUAUCAUGAGAAAAUAUGAAAGUUAGUGCAUAAUACCAAAAAUUCGAUGUCAUCAAGGAACUUUGUGAGCUCUGAAGUUGUGUGCUCAGAGUUUGGUUGAGAAACAAUGUUCUCUAGGUACCUACACCAAAUGCAGUUUAGUUGAAAUUACAACCAGUAAAAGCUUGCAUAUACAGAAAUUCGAGGCCAAGAAUUAAAUAUCAUGGAAAGAUAAAAAGGGUAAUAUCGGGACGGGAUGGAUAUAGAAGAAGAGAAAUAACCUAUCAAAGUCAAUCACUCCAAGAACCCCAUUUGCAAUACGUAAAGACGCCAAUGCCAACUGCAAGGGCACACGUCUAACAAUUGAGAAACAAAACAACACUUUGUGAUACUUCUUCUGUUACAUAUACGGUAAAGAAGGAACAUGGUGAGUAUAUAUCGAUAUACUAAACUACUAUAUCAUAAACAUUUAUUGAUUUCACCUAUAUAUCUGUCAAAGAGAAAACAAAGCACCAACUUUCGUCCUAGAUUUAUGUCUUGAGUAGCAUAUUUGAAGCUUUACUGAAAUAUCCCAAACAAUAAGUUUAACCAGAUUCUUUGAUGGAUUUAAUUUUAUUCAGUAUCUUUAAUCUGAUAAUAAGAACCUAGGGAGACAAAAGAAACUAUCAUGCCACCUGGCCAGGAGGAAAGAGGAGUGGAGCAUCUGUGAGCAUAACUUUAUCGGCUUCUGCUGUCGCCGCUUUGAGUAAACUCUGCAGAAUACUUGAAAUGUUAUGCCAGUAUGAGAAAAUAAUACUUCAAUAAGGCCCGUUAAAUAAAACGACUUGCAGUUAUGAUCCCAAAUUCAGUUACCACAUGUUUAAAAACUUUGUAACAGUUAAGGGAAAUAUAUGAAGAGAGAGAUUACCUCCAGUUUCUGGAUUUGAUCAUCUCUAGCUUGAAGAAAUUCCUAGAAGAUGAUAAGAUGAUGUCACUUUUAGCGAAAGCAUGAAGUUUAACAAGAAUGAAAAAUUACACACACCGAAUAACAAGUAUCAACAGGCUUAAAUUUCCUAUUAUGGUUCACCAACUUCUUCCCUUGAAGAUAACACUCAGAAUUUUUCUUGGAACAAAAUGAUUUCCUAUCAACUCAAUCAGAGUCUCGUGAUGACAUAAGAAAACCUACAAAAUACUAGACAGGCCAGAUUUACCUCCAUAUUGUUGACAAAACCUUCAAUUGCACGAUACGGUGCAUAAACAAUCAGAUCAAAUUCCAAACUCUGCACAUAAAGUUAAUAUAAUAUGAACAAAAGAAUAGAGAGAGAAAAGAACACCGGGGAUAAAUAAACUUACGGAAGUUGCUACAAAUUAAUUGACUCAUAUGAUACCUGAAGAACAGCCAUCUCAUACUUGAGAAUGAUCUGGUGAUCUUGGUUAAUCCCUUUCCCAAUUUCCUCAGCAGAUACAUGAUUCUCCUCUAUUUUACAAGCUGCAUACACACAGGUUAACCUGUUCAAUGAAAGGUAACAAUUAGUCCAAAUUAUAACAACGGACCAUUUUGACUGCCUUAAAAAGCCUCUCAGAAAUACAAAAUUCUUAGAUCAAUUUGAUAAACAAUUUCAAAACUAUUCUCUUAUGAAAAAGCAAAGCCUUUGACCAUUUUGAGGAUUUAGAAGAACUAUACAUUAUCUCUUUUGGAUGAUGUUGCAUAACAGACCAUUGCAGAUAAAAUCUCUUAAAGUAUUGGAGGGCUGUUGCCUGCAAAAGAUUACAAGGAAAAACAUGAAUUCAGAGAGCUAACAAAAUCAGGUAUUUUAUUUUUAACUUGAUCAUAAACUUGUAUCUUGACGAGGAGAAAUGCACCUGAAUCUUGUGAGGAAAUGCAAAGGCACUACACACUUCUUGGACCUUAGCCUCAUAAAAUGCUCUCAUGAACCGUUCUUCAUCAACACUCAAAGGCUUAAGCUUCUUAUCAGCUGAGAAUAACACAGCAAAAAGUAACAUUAUUUAAACUUGGACAAACAAAACUAUAAUGAUACGUAUGGAAACGGACCAAUAAUAAAAAGUUUACCUGGAUCUGCUGCAUCAACUUUAUCUUUAGGAUAUGUUAGUGAUCCACUGGCAUCUACUUCAACUUGGGUUGUUCCACACUAUGAAUGAGAAUAAGUUAAAAAUCUAUCAUGAAUAGAGACUAAAGUUGAAUAUCAGCACACUCUUAGCACACCUUCUCCAGCAUUUGCACUGCCCUCUUGUUAGCAGCUUUAUAUUUGUCUGCCUACAAUGACAACAUUACAGCUUAGUUGCAAUACCAAUAUCUCUACACAACAAGUAAGAUAAUAUCAAUAAACACGCAUAAUUAAGCAACGAAGAGUUCGAAAUGCUCGGUUAAUAGGACUCUCUUGCGUCACACAAGACGAAAACCAAAGAAGCCCAUCAAAGUAUUUUCCUUUGUAAAAUACAAACACACAUACACACACUAAGGUAAUCUAUAUGAUACAAUCAAAGCAAAGAAAAUCCUUAAGAUGAACAAAAUCAAACAUGUAUAAAGCCUCAGAAAUUGAGAUUACCAGUUUCUGGGGAGUGAAAAUCCACUUGGCCCGUUGUGUUGAUGUCUGAAAAUCCGCCAUUUACUCAGUCCCGCACGAGUUUUCGAAAUCGAAAAAUCAAAUUUUGCUCAGUUUCAGUCGGCUGCGACGGAGACUUUUGAUCAAAUACACACGUUGUUGAUGGCGAUUCUCCGUCUGAAUCGGAUGGAGAUUUACAGUGGUUGAAUUAUAGAGGGUUCCCAGAUAUUUCAAUUUCGUAUUUUAGGGCUUAUGUUAGAAUUUAGGAGACGAAUCUAAAAGCACCAGGUUUUGCAGAGUCGAUUCGAAUGGAGAUUGGAUUGAGUUAGCUACGAGAAGAAGAGGUUUCGGUGAUGAGAAGACGAGCGCGGGGUAGAAGAGGAGAGCAGACGCAAUAUCUUGUCGGAAUUCAGAUGUGAAGACGAGUACGAGCACGGCGGAGAAACGGUGUUAAUAAUGUCGGAACUUGCUCAUACGGCGAGAUCGUUCCUGGCUUCGGGCUUGCGAAGAAGAAGAAACAUUUCGAAACAUGUUUAACAAUAAACCCUAUGGUCAAACGGUGUCGUUAGCAAACAUAACUAUUUUAACGAUGUCGUUUAGUCAACCGUUAAAACCCUUGUUAACAAAAAAAACAGGAAUUUUCAAACAACUAAAAACAGUGCUAGGGCUUAAAGUUAUGUUUCCAACCCUUAUUAUAACAUCCCUACUUAUGUCCAACUUCUAGGGUUUAUGUAUUAUUAUAGAAUCUAAAUAAAAUUAAUCAAUGUUAUUUAAAGUUUGCCUCACGGUUUUAGUUAGACUUGGACAUUCUGCUUUACGGAUCGGUUUGGGUCGAAAGGUUUAGGAUUCGUUUAAGAACCGAAAUGUUUUUGGUUUGCAUCAGGUCUAUUCGGGUUUGGAUCGGUUUUCAAAUUUCAUUGAAACCCGACAUAAUACUGAAUUAUAAUUUGGUUUGGUGUUUUGGAUCCGAACUACACGGAAAAACUUGUAUUACUCGAAAACCCCGAAAAAAAUCAUGUGUAUGUAUUGUUUAUUGGUUAUGGGUAUUUGUUCAGGUUUCAGAUUUUUUGAGUAUCCGUUCAGGUUUUGGAUCCUACCUGAAAAAAAUAAUUUAGGAUCCGUUCGGUAAUAUUGGCUACCCGAAACCAAAUCGAACAUGGGUUUACGUGUUGUCCGGGUUUUCGAGUUUUCGGUUUUGGACUUUAUUAUGCCCAGGCCAACUUUUAGUAGUCUCUCAAGUCUCAAACGUAUUUAAUUUCUGUGUAAGUUCCAAUUGGCAUUGUUCUACUUAAGGAAUAGUGAAUAUUUGAGAUUUUUUUAAAGGUCUAUACAUGUUGGGAAUAAUGACCCAAGAAAAGAAUCAUAACGAUUUUUCGAAACUGAGAAAGAAUAUUAUAAAAAAGCAGCUCCAAAGUUACAGAAUCAAUGGGUAACUAACUAUCAAGAGCCUUUGAAGCUGUUCAAAUUAUUAACUACCUAUAAACUAAACUAACCUCUACAAUUCAAACAAUUAAAUCUGAUAUCCAGGUGUUAAUCUUCGAUAUCAGGUUAAUUAUAAAGGACACAAAUGUUUCAUGUUUCAUGUUCUUACAAGAGCCAUGAUUUGAGUCUUGAUCAGUCCCAUAUAAGUCUGAAUUUCUCUGUAUAUCGGCAUGUUCUGUGGACACCGUGGCUGCAAGUCACUCACUGCUGUAUCCAUUAGCUGAGCCACAUCUUCUGGUGGGUACUGCUUCUGUGAGAUCAUCUGCAGGUACAUAACACAGAAAGAGUUCAAAUCAAAAACCGCAACAGCAGGUAAUUUCGAUCUCAGUCAAGCGAUAUUAUUUCCUUUACCUGCAUCAUGAGCCAAGAGGCAACACAAGAGGUGAUAAGCUCUGAAGGCAUUUGCGUUUUGUUUUUCCCUGAUCCGUCCUGUGAGAUGAAACCGUUAGUCAUUGGCUCUGCUGUGUUUGAAGGAUAAUGAUCCAAGCUGCCAUUGGUAUGCUCUUGAUGCUUGAUACCAGGCACUAUAGAGCUGUAUAAUGGUUGAUGUUCGCCAAUUGAGCUAGCUUGGUGGACCAUAUUCCCUGAGUCUUCAUUGUUCUUCCCCGACGAUGCAGCCUAAAACCAUACAUUGACAACAAUUUAAACCAAGAGAUAUUAGAGUCGUAUGACUUUGGCUUCUCUGUAUUUAGAAGACUCUGAAGUCUCUAGACAUAUUAUAACUACCUUCAUAGCUGCAUCCACCAUUGCUUGCGCUAUUGACUUUGAUUCACUGGCAAUUUCAAUCAUUUCUGGCUCCAUUUCCUGGAAAGCAGAAUUAUGACAGGAGAAUUCCUGUAGCUGUUACUAUUAGCAAUCCAGAAAUUAUUCGGCAAAAAAAAAGUACACAAAAUAAGUCUAUACUUUGAACAUGAGCAAUCUGAAGACAGUUUCCUCAGGCAUAGUAGUUUCAUUAACUUAAGCUUAUUUUAGUUACCUACUAUACGCACAACUAAGGCAUACAGAUUCACUACCUGCGCAUCUGAAGUAUGCUGCGGUGUCAGAGUCCGUUGAAUUUCUGGUCCUCUUACUUUGCUAUUGGUUGCGAUAGAUUGAUCAGUAGUGUUGGUUGCUAACACUUUACUGUGCAAAACUGGCUCUCUAAUAUCAUCCUGAAGAGAAUUAUGGAAUUAUGCACAGAGUUUACCAAAUAUGUACAGAAAGAAAGACGAAGAUCAAAGCUUUGACACACGAGUCAGCCGUCCAUCUUUGUUUACCUGUUUCGCAGGAUGAUUCAUGGAAAAUUUGACAUUUUCGAGCACAGAAGGAGAGAACAGAAGAGAUGCAUCAGAGCUUGGGUGUCUGUUAAGCUGUGCUUCUUUGCCUAUAGCUACACACUUAUCAGUUUUCCUCCUUAGCCCCUCUGGCAUGUAUUCCAAUGGAUUUAAAGGCAUGCAGUCAAUAUCCUGUCAAAAAAGGGAUUUAUUAGAUCAUCUGAGAUAUACAAUAAGUGGACAAACUAUCUACAAAUCACAAAGGAGUUAAGCGUUUCAACGGAAUUUGUAUAGUUUGAGAUUUACCAUAACUAACUCAACACCCAAUUCAUCAAACAAAACGUUGCACUUGUUAUGAUCCACAGUAAGAAUCUUGCCAUCACGAAUUUCCCGUGUUUUAGGAUAGAUGGCAAUGACUCUAUUCCCGACUGAUAAAGGAUGGGCCAAAUCUGUAUGAAGCACUCCCGUAGCACAUCCACGGAGCUCUGUAUAAUGCUUUCUCACAGAUUCACGAUAUUGUUGGAGUUUAUCCCGCUCAUCAUGUAGGAACCUCUCAGACAACCUCCGAGGUCUACCGAGAGAACUGAAAAAUUAUAGAAUUUGAGUAACCUUUUUGAAUCUUUAUAUUUCCAUCGACAUACACAAGAACUUUAACAUACCUUUUAAUGACACUCCAUUCAACACGAGUAAGUCUUGGAGCGUGACCAAGCCCCACAUGAUUUAGAUAAUCAGUGAACUCCAUCUUUGCAAACCAGGGAUAGUCAAUAGCACUGUAGAACCAUUCAUAUAUGCACCAUCGACGUACCAAUGGAUAUGACAGACAAUUUGAAAACUUCUCCUGUAAAUGGAAUAAGCAAAUAAGAGACCAGAUUUUUUGGAUUUGUAUAACAAAAAUGAAGUUAGAGACUCUACCUUUAGUAAUUCAUGUUCUGAAAGACUUUUGCGACUACGUAGCUUGUCAUGAGUGGUUUCUAAAGAUUUAGCUCUUUCCUGUAAACUUUUCUUCAAACUCAUCUUACGCCUGUUUGGAGGUUUCUGUGGCAAAGUCGCUGGACCCAAAGCUGAAACUUGUGUAGCUGGCACUAUUGCAUCCGGUAUAGUUAAUUUCUUAUCACUAGCUAAAGAAGAUUCUUCCGAGGUCUUUGCAGUUUUCAGCUGUUUUGCGGGACCUUGACCAGAACGUCUUGCUUUGACUAGAGUCUUCAAAUUAUCAUCUUCAGCCGAUUCCUGCAAUGCAGUAAACAAAAAUCAUGAGAGAAAGCACUAACAAAAAUUACUAAAGCAUAAGCUUCUUUGAUCGAAAGAAUUUGUCAAGGAUUCAACCGCAGAUCACAGAGUACGAUUAAAUCCAAGCCAAAAGAAAUAAGCAAAUAGGAGAGAAGCGGGUUUUUCAUAUCUAUAGAUUUGAAAAAUACCUUAGUAUAUAGAAAUUUUUCCUGAAUAGACUCUUUUGGAGCUUCAACAUCUAACACCUGAAACUGAAUGUAAUUUGCAUAUAGCUAAGUGGUGCACAGAGGAACGACAAGAUAACAAAGAAAUCAAAGAGAAAAACUGUCUUGUAAACCAAACCUUUGGUUUACGUUUUCUUCUUGAAGUGCCAAGCUCUUCGACAGAAACAACAUUACCAUCAACGGAUUCCGGCACAGACUUCGGUUUUCUUUUAUCGGGGGCUGAAAUUGCAAGUAGGAGACUAGCUUCUGGUCCUGCUUCUUUUGCUUUUUCUCUGUGAUGGCUUGUGGACACGGUUUCCAGAGUCUUAGAUUUCUCAUCCACGUUGUUAGCUAUUCUUUCUUCUUCCCACAGUGGAGAUAAUUCUGGAUCCAACACAAUAAAAUAGAAAAUAUAAAGAGAUGUACCUUGAUGGAUGUGAAAGGUGAACAGAUAUUUAUUAAUGGGUCUCUUCUUUUAACCCGCACAAUAUACAUCCUUAGUGGCACAACCCCAGAAUAUAAAACCAUUCGAUGCUAACCUGAUUCCAUCAAAGCAGCCGGAGCCAGUGAAGCUGACAUUUCAGCCAAUGCCUUCAGAGCUCCUAAUCCAUCAUCAUCAUCAUCAGAAUCAUUUCCUUCUGCUUCUUCAAUUCUCACAUUUUUUCCCUUCUUGGUAACAAGUCCUUCCAUAUCCCUCAACAAGGCACCAUCUCUAUCAGCAGCUCCCUUUUUAUGCCUCCUAUCUCGGCUUGUUCUCACCCCAUUCUCAAACAUGGAACUAUCAGGGUGCUUGAAUUGAGCUUCCUGUGCUUGUAACUGGCAAAGAAAAAAAGUAGAAAUUGUUUUUCCACUGAAUCAAUCAUGACAACAAUGAAAAGAAAUGAUAAUAACCUUAAAUUGCUAGAAUUAUCAAAAUACCAUUUUUCGAAGCCUAGUUUGUGUGCUGUCACUGAGUUCUGUUCUUCUAUAUGGAGACCCUCCUCCCCUUCUUGAUGCAUCAUCAUCGGCAUCAAGUUGCUUCUUGGCUCUUUUAUUUGGUGGACUAGAAUCUGCUCUAUCAUCCCUCUCGUGUGUAAUUGCUACAAGAAACCGAGGUGUACGUUUCCCAGUGGCACGUCGCCUUUUUUCUACAUAAAUAAAGUAGCAAAUUACACGAUCUUGAACAUAUUCAUUUACAUAAUUUUGUUAGGCUGACACAGAAUUCCGCGAGACAUGGUUACACUAUAAAUGGUGUGAACUAAAAAUGUAAGAUAAAAGGCAGCUUGUUGUUCAUUUGCUCACCAAUAUAAACCACAGAGUAAUCCUUGGUUUUAGCAUCUUUCAAACCAUAAAUUUUAAGAAAAUGAUUUGCAGGAAAUAAUGAAUGUACCAUAAGCUUGUGUCUGCUUCAAUAAUGAGAGGCAUCCUUCUACUGAUGCAACUGAAUGUGGUGGAAUAACUUCUUCUCGAAAAUCAAUAGGCCGAACUUGAGGACGUUUGCGCUUGAGAUGUUUCCUCGGUACUUCAGAAGCAUCAUGGUCUUCUACUUCGCUUUCGCUCCCCUCCUACAAAAAUUACCAUAAGCAUGUAGAAACUGAACCACACAACUUUACUAAACAGACGAAUCUGAACCAACCAAUUAAACACAUCUCUCCCUUGUUCUCACGAAAAGUAUAAAACUAAAAUUUCACUAAUGUAAUCGACUAUACUGGGUAUCAACAUUAAUAACUCCUCAGCUUUCCACCUGAAUUUUCAUACAAGAAGUCAUCUAACAUGAACUUUAAGGGUGUUCCAGCAGUAAUAAAAUAAACAACUCACCAUGACGCUGUAAUGAUCAGUCAUCAUCGCAAUGAGGCCAGCUACAGACGCAGUUCCCUCAGGCAGGGAUAAGUAUGCCUGGAAGAAUAGGCAGAUCAAAUGAAUGAAAAGGUAUUCAUGUUUAACAUAAUCUAGUUCUGAGUUUAAAAUGAAGACUAGGCAAGUCAUAUCCAUCUCAAUACUAAAACAAAACUGAACAGUGAGAUAUUCUUGUACUCAUACCCGAUUCAUAGAAAAAAGAGCCUCCACCAUCUCAACAGACCGGUUAUUCCGCACUGCAGCAGCUACCUAAGCAAUUUCCAAAGACUUUCAACUCAUACAAAGAUUCAAAAAAUACUUACAUGAAACCAUAAUCGUGCAACAAAGUUUACCUUUUUCCAGUCUCCCACAUGCUUCCGAUAAGCGUCAUAGAAACGCGCAAGCUCUCCUUUGGUCCACUGAGGUCCUAGCUUGUCAGCCAAUUUCUUCUUCUACAAUGAAAAAAAAUACAUAUUCAGAGAUACAAAUAGAACACCUAGAAUAAGAUUUGGUCAAUGAAGAAGAAACUCACUCUUUGCUUGGUUUUGCUUGCGCUCCCACCAUUGAUAUCUGGAGAAGCUUCAUUAGUGAAGCGCUUGUUUACACUCUUCGACUUCCUACUAGGCGCCAUAAACUGAUUUCUCUGCCCAGAAAUUCCAACGAAAAGAUUAAAAUAAUUUACAAAUUAAGGAAACUGAUCUGACCAAAGAUACGACAUUAAAUUUGAUUAAAGAAAAUCUAACUCUCUUCACAAAAUCUCAGAUUCAAUUUUCACCAGAAAACGAUUAUGAAUCAGAAAUUCAACAACUUUACUUACAAAUCUCUAAGAAAAAAAACUCGCAGUAUCAAUAAAGAAAACAAAGAAUCACGAAUCGGAAUCAUCAACUUUUGGAAUUCAAAAAAAAAGAAGACCCAGAUUCAAAAUACCAAUACUCAUUUCAACGAAACCCAAAAUCAACCACAAAGUUCGAAUCCAAAUUUCAAAAUUUUCCUUUUUGAAAGAACUUCGAAAUCAAUAAUAUCAUCGCCGAACCAGAAUCCAGAAAUCCCAAAACCAAAUUUCCCAAUAAGAAUCUUUAGAUACAGUGAAGUUAAAAAAAAUCCCAAUUGGUUGUGUUAAAACCUUUAAAAACCCUAAAUCAAAUCAACAGAUCUACUCACCAAUCACGCAGCUCAAUAAGAAUCGACGAAGAACCCGACUCGGAGAAGAGAAAGCUCAAAAACCUUGUUCGAGAUCGGUGACAAAUUUUCGAAAGAGGUUUUAAAAGAGAGAGCGAGAGAGAGAGAUAAAAAAGGAUUUUAGAUGAAUUAGAGAAAGAGAGAGAAGUAGAGAGGCGUUGCCGCGAAACUUGAAUAAAAAGACGACUUGAUACUUGUAAGCCAAUAGGCACUUCCGUUUUUAUUUUUCCAUUUUUUUCUAAUUCUUUUUAAUAUGAAAAGCUUGUGGUUAUGUAAUCUAAAACGUACACGUGGCUUUUUAGGAAUAUGAACCGUUAGAUGCGUUUGAGUUUCUUUUAGGGUUUGUAGUAACGGAUACAUGGGAUUAUAUUUGAAAUUACCCAAAUUUCAUCAAGAAAAAAAAUAGAAAAUCAACUAUUGAUGAAUAAAAAUUGAAAUUUACCUCUGUGCAUACCUUUUUUUUUAACAGAUCUGUAUGUAUAAACAGUGUUCUAAAACACUAUUUAUAUUGAGAACAUAAAAUGAAUAUAUAUUGAAAAAAUUUCAUUAAGAAAAAUAUAAAAUCAACUUGUGAUGAAGAAACUUGAGAUUUACCUUUGGCUGUACUUUUUUUUUUGUUUUACAGAUCUGUAUGUAGAAGCAGUGUUCUAAAACACUAUUUUUAUUGAGAACAUCAAAUGAAUAUAUAUUGAAAAAAUUUCAUUAAGAAAAAUAUAUAAUCAACUUGUGAUGAAGAAAAUUUGAGAUUUAUCUUUGUGUAUAUUUUUUUUUUGUUUUACAGAUCUGUAUGUAUAAACAGUGUUCUAAAACACUAUUUAUAUUGAGAACAUAAAAUGAAAAUAAAUAUGAGAUAACAUCUAGUAUGAAAAUUUAAAUUGAGGUGGUGACACGAGGACGAUACUAGCAAUUUACUAGAUUGUGUUAUGGUAGAUUAUAUAUUAUAGUCAAACAUAAAUAGAGCAUUUAUAUGGUGUAUAUAAGUUAUCAUAUUUGUAUCCGUCAUAAUUUUUUUUUGGCUGACUGAAUCAUCCACACGUCAUUUUGUGGUUGGUUAUUUUUUGUAAAGAUAAGAUUUGUAUCUAACAUAUAUCUAUAUACACAAAAAUGCAUAAUUUAAUUUAUUACUGUUUAAUAUUUUCAUAAUUGACUAUGAGAAAUCAUCAUCUACCUUUGAUUUUCUUAAUCUUCCAAAUAAUAAAACAAAAAUUUGUUUAUGGAUGUGGGAGUAGAAAAAUAAUAAUCUAUUCUGUUCUUUAAUAUUCCAAAUACUAAUCUCUUUUCUGUUUUUAAUCGUUUAUAUCAUAAAAAUUCAUGGAGUUAGAUGCGGAGCCUUCAAGCUGGUUUUCUCUGACCCGAUCUUUGUCGGACUUGCCGAGUCAGCAAAGAAAAUGGUUUUCCGUCUCCGGUGGAUUCUGUCCCGACGAGGCCUGUCCGCAAAAUUGGGAGUUCUGUCUAUCCGUGGAAUUACCCGUCGUCUGCUAGGUCGUUGCCAGCUUUCGAACCGUCUCCUCGGGACUUCCAGCGUGGUGUGAUAAAAACUCUGAUGGAUGCCACCUACUACUCUACCACGAGGGAGGCAGAGAGCAUUCUUGAGUGGUUCGACUCAGUGAGUGUUGUUCGUUCAAUCUUAUUACUCUUAAUUUAAUUUCCUUGUCUAAUAAGCCGGUGCAUCUUACUGUAUAGGUCAAGAUGUUGCACCGUUCUCUCAACGAUCGUCAUGCGGAGCUCCUGAAGCAGAUGCAAAGUUUGGAAAGAGGGAUGCGAAUGUUGGAAUCGGAGCUGCGGGACUGGGAGCGAUUCGAGUUGGACCGAGCUGUGCCAAUGCCAGAGUCGUUGUGCAACUAUCUUAAGAUAUACCAUCACAAGGGUGGUAUAUGCAGGCGUCAAUGUAGAGUUUGAAAACCUUUUUGUAAAUUCGGUGCCCAUACGUGGGCUUUUCUUUUCUUGUUUCCCGAACAUAAUACUCGUUCGUCGGGUUUAAUUAAUUUCCUUUUAACUAUCGGCUAUUUUUCUUGAUUCUUUGUAUUUAAUCGUUACAUCGUUUUUCAAAUACCGACGGACUGU
rnacentral:lncRNA from 1 species